AAAAACAUAACUCAAGAAGAAAUUAACUAAACGUGACCCAUGCAUUUAAGCUAAUGAUCAGGAGAGUUUCUUUUGGUUCUUGACCUUCCACUCUUUGAUAUUAGCUUCAAUCUUUGCUUUCACACUUUUAUGAAACCCUGGAUACGGUUCAUACCCAAAGGCUGAUUGAAGAAGCUCAAGCAACACGAAGUAAGGCCCCAUCAGAAGUGCUUGAGCAAAGUUGUCUCCAAGAGCUGGUGCUCUUUUUUCAAAAAUCCCGUGGCCUAUGAACUGUCCACCCCAGCAGAAAACCUGAGCAGCAAGAACAAGCUUCCAUGACUUAGCAAACCCUAUCCAAUAGCAAGAACACUGGCUCCAACCCAGCAGAGAAAACAUAGCAAAGCUGCCAAGGACCCAGCUUUCUUGUCCAAUUUGACAUAAAAGUUAAAACAAACCCUAAAUUCAAUUUGAAACCAUGAUUGUUAAACCCAGAUGAGAAAUUGUAGAGAGAGGGUGUGAAGUGGAAAAGAACAGCAGCGGUGAAGAAUAAUGGCCACACAAAGAAAGUGUGAAUCAAAAUGUUAACUGGGUUGCUGUGAUAUGCCCCAUAGAAGGCGAAGUGCCCUUCAAGAUCAAACAAUCCAGUCGUCCCCAUGAAAUUUUUUCUUGCAAAGUUGAUUUGCUUUUGUUGAAAAAAGUACAGGCAUCCCUUGCUCGGAAACUAGACUGAGAAAAUAAAUUAAAUUGGAUAUAAAUUGGAGCCUAAAAGCAAGGUAGUGGAACGCUCCUGGUAUCUAUACUUUGAACUUUUUUUAUUAAAUGUUUUACAAAUGCAGCAAUGGUAUAAUAUUGUUAAAUCAUCAACUUGUAUUAAGUUAUAUAGAAUGAUGCAAAUAGAUUAAACUGCAAGGUAUUGAGAUGAACACAAAAAAUCUGCACGUUAUUAAGGAGGAUUAUGUUGGAAUAUAUUAGUAUUUUAGGUAAUUUUAUAUUGUAAGGGUGUUUUAGUAUUUUGAGUCUAAGGUUUCUUGUAGGUUAAGGAUUUCGAUUCCUCGUCUAUUAGGGAUUAAUAAUCCGUUAUUUAAUCAUAAUUAAAAUUAAGAGUUGAAUUAAGGAGAAUCAAAAUCAUAUUUCCAUGAAAAUUGUUUACUAAAAUGUUCUGAAAUCGGAAUAGAAAUUGUACUGAUUUCAUAAAAUUGUUUAUUAAUUCACCAAAAUCGGAAUAUAAAUAAGUAUGAUUAUAUCUCUUUGGAGACAUCUGAUAAAAAAUAAAAUAAACAUGAUUACUAGUAAGGAAGAAAAAUUCAAUAAUAUCGGCGAAAUAUCGCCGAUAUUAUCGUUUUUUUGGAGAUCAAAAUUUUUUUUAACUAUCCAAAUGAUUUUCGUCAAAAUAUCGCGAUAUUUUUAAAAUUAUCGAUAUUAUCGUAAAAUAAUAUUCAAAAAUAUUUAAAAAUGUUGAAAAUCUCAACAUACACUACACUUGAUCAAAUCCCCCAGAGGCUAACCAAGACCUGCUUUUCUCACCAUGUGAAUGUGCCUUUUAUAGGCGUUCUUGGCUUGCUCACUGCCCUCGCUGGGCGAUGUGGGACUCGACCAAGGAAAAAAAAUAGGAAUUUCGGCCGAAAAUCCACACCCACUUUAAACGGCCAUAACUUUGUCAAAACUCAACAAAAUCAAGCAAGACAACAACGAAAGUUGUAGCCCUCGAAGAGACGAAGAGAAUGGUACCUCACACAACGUCUGAAUUGUCGUGGUUUGGCCGGAAAAUUCCUCGAAAGUCACUGAGGUCGCCGGAAACUGGGUAAGAUUCAAAUGAGUAUAACUUUUUCAAUACUCAACGAAAUUGAGUGAAACAAAAAUAAAAGUUGUACUACUCGACGAGACGAAGAGAUUGAUACCUUGAACGGCAGCCAACUCGCCGUGGUUUGGCCGGAAAUUGCCUCGAAAGCCACUGAGAUCGCCGGAAACUGGGUAAGAUUCAAAUGAGUAUAACGUUUUCAAUACACAACGAAAUUGAGUGAAACAAAAAGGAAAGUUGUAGCCCUCGAAGAGACGAAGAGAAUGGUACCUCACACGACUUCUGACUCGUUGUGGUUUGGCCGGAAAUUGCCUCGAAAGCCACUGAGGUCGCCGGAAACUGGGUAAGAUUCAAAUGAGUAUAACUUUUUCAAUACUCAACGAAAUUGAGUGAAAUAAAAAGGAAAGUUGUACUACUCGACGAGACGAAGAGAUUGAUACCUUGCACGCCGGCUAACUCGCCGUGGUUUGGCCAGAAAACCAAAACGUAUUGCCUCAAGGGCUGGUACAUGUGAACUUGUGACUCCAACUAGGUAAGAGCCAGAUCUAAUUUGGGGCCUUCUAUCCUAUAUUUGUGGACAACCAUCAAAUGCUAAAGAUUAAACAAACAUAAUAUGUUCUACUGCUUAGCAAAAAAAGCUACAAACCCUUUGCUUAUCAGCAAAAAAAGACAAGUCCUUGCACUAGAUAUACUUUCAAAUUACGUUGAGUAGCAACCUGAUAUAUGUAUUCGGACGAAUUAUAAAACAAUUGACACACUCCUGACUUCCAAAAUUCAAUUCUUUUACUUUAUAUAAACUUGAAAAAACAUAAUCGGCAUCCAAAUUAAAGUUUAGUCUUAUUCAAUGUAUUGAUUUUCAAUCGUUAAUUGAUAUACUAUAAUUUGGAACAUCAACGCCUAGACGCAUGCUUAUGUGUAAGAAAUUUAAAGUGUCAAAUUCGGCACAUUAUUCUUCAUCAUUUUAUUCACUUCCCUUUUUUUUUUUUAAUAUCCUAAAUAAAACCUCCAAAUAUUGUACUAAUUCAUUAUAUAUAAAUGAUUAUGGUGUGUUUAGACUUCUUUCAUUAAUUACUACAUAUUUUCUACACUCACAAUGUUUGUCAGCUCGCUAUAUAAUCAACUUGAUAAUGUUAAAUCCAUCAUGCAAUGCAUUUCUUUCCAAUUUUUUGUGAUAAACUAAUAGAUAAUUGACUAAAUAAACAUCCUACAAAGUUUCAAUAAAAAUUUCCAAGUUUUUCUUACAAUUUCCGUGGUUUCCAUGUAAUUUUUAUCGAUAUCGAUAUUUUACCGAUAUUUCCAUCGAUAUUUCCGUGUUUUCAGACUACCGAUAUUUCCGAUAUUACCGAUAUUUUCUUCCUUGAUUACUACAAUGCCCAUCUUCCCUAUCCUUUCUUCUUUUCGGCCUCUUCAACUUUAUGUUUUUCAACUAAAUUGCAGUAAAACUCACCCCACCGACAAUAGAAAGAACAAUCCUUCAUUUUCAUUAUUAAUUAUUAUUUUGAUACAAUCAGACACCAUAUCUCCUCAAGUCUCGUUCUGUAUAGUUAAAAAUAAAUAAAUAAAAAUAUAAAAUUAUAAAAAAAAAAAUAAAAAAAAGAGAGAACGGUAAGCAGACAGGCAAUAUCCUGGACCAGAUAACGAUGCAAAUUUUGUAGGGAUGGAUGACGACCACUAAAAAUCUCUAUUUGGUAUUAAUAUUUGCAUGAUUUUAGGAAGGAUUUCAUAAUUGUGGUUAUUAAAAUUUUUAAUUAAUACUGAAACUUAACAUUUUGUCAUUCAAUCAAAAUAUUCAGAUUAAUAAAGUUUCAAUCUAAGAUUUUAGUUAAUCAGGUGCCGUUUGGUACGUGGGACGGGACGGGACGGGACGAGUCGUUCCGUCCCAUGUUUGAUGUGCCUAAAAACUGUGGAACGGGUUGUCCCAUGGGAUGAAAUUUGGCUGAUUUUUCGUUCCACCUCUUCGCCCUGGAACAACUCGUUCCACAUCCGUGGGACACAAAUUUAUAACAUUUUAUAACAAAAUUUCUCUUUAUCUUUUUCAAUAUUUACAUCAUCUGUUCCGUCCUGUUCCGUCUCGUCCCGUCCCGUCCCGUUCUGUUCCGUCUCGUCCCUUCCCGUCUUGUUCCGUCCCGUCUGCGUACCAAAUGGUACCUCUCAAGGACCGGAACCAAAGUUUCCUUUUUUAUAAUGUUUGUGUCUUUCAUUUACGAUUAACAAAUCUUUAUUAUGUAGAGCCAAAAAUAAUCUCAAAAAUCCUGAAGGCGACAUGUGAACUUUAUCCCGAAGAAGACAAUAUUCUCCUCAAUAAAUGGGUAGUGCACACAAACACUCCCACAUGCAGCUUAGCAUCCCUCGAAAUUUAAGCAGUGGACUAUGAUUGCUCAAAGUUCCCCUACUCGUGGCAUGAAAAAGUCAAGGACAUUAGAUUAAUCACCAAAUCAUAUCUUUAACAUAUUCUUAAUUGAAGAUCAACUCCAUCAAGUAAGGAAUCCUCCUCGUAACCAAGUAAGGAUACUUCCACCAUUGUUCCAAGAUAUUUUCUCUUAAUUAAUAUAUUGGGAAUAUUCUUUCCUAAUUCAUCCAAUGGAGCGUAUUUAUCAAAUAUAGUCAAAAUUAACUCUUAAUUUCAAAAAUGUCACUUUUUUAUAAUUAAAAAAUUCAAAUAUAUCCAAAAUUCCAUUUAAAUAGAAACAAAUACCCACAAAUUUAACAAUACAAUAAAUUAAAGACUUUUUAGCCAAAAUGGUUUGUGACAUUAACGUAACUCCUUAGCCUGAUCCUUAACAAUGAAAAUCAAUAGUAGUGUCCUUGAAUUUGUCUAUCGUGAAUCAUUAUAGUCUUUCUCUAAAUUUGUCCAUCGUGAUCAUUUUAGUAUUUCCGUGAAAAUCUGUCAAUUGCUCUAUUAGUGAGAUAAUGUGGCGCCACAAGGAUCUCACAAAUACAAUUAUAUAAAGACAUGUGGAUUAAUUUUAAAAAUUGUUUUUAUAUUUAAAACUGAAAAUCAUAGUAGUAAGAAAAAUAAAAAUUAUAAUUAAAAAAUAAAAAAAUUAAAAGAAGAAGUCGUCUUCUUCAGUUGGUAGGUAAAAGCCAACAGACAUGCCCAAAUCAAAAACCCUCAACCUACCUAAACCCUUAUUCCGUCUUCCAAACCAAAUUUCUGCAUGCUGAGAUAAAUUUAGUGGUUCUUUCUUAAAAUUUUCCUUUUCCAAUUGGGUUCGAAGAUUAUAGAGAAUUGAUGCAAUUCGGAAAGAGUUUAAGUGUCUAUGAAUUGGUGACCGGGUCGUGGGAAGAAACAAGGCAUUGAAGGCAUGAUUGCAAUUUUGCUGCUCUUACGGUAACCGUGAUGGCACUCAAUGUCGGUGAUGAGGGGGUUGAAGAGGAUAGGGUUAUGGUGGUGGAGUGUAAGAGCGAAGGUGAAGUUGGACCGGAACUUGAGGCGAUGGUGGCUUAAAAGCCUUUAAUUUAUUUGAUUGUUACAUUUGCGGGUAUUUGUGUCUAUUUAAGUGAAAUUUUGGAUAUAUUUGAAUUUUUUUUAUAAAAGUAAUGUUUUUGAAAUUAAGGAUUAAUUUUUGGCUAUAUUUGAUAAAUACUCUCCAAUGGAUGACACACCUUACCUUGGUCAAUUGGACGCCACCAUGUGUAGGGCAAAACUGUAACCCUGGUCGGCCUCCUAUAAAUACCUCCAUCUCCACCAAAUUUUGGUAAGCUUUUUGCUACGUAUACAAGCCCUAAACACUUCACUCUUUUCAAAGAUAUUAACUUAAGCAUGGAAGAUCUAUUGGCCAACCAUCCCUCUCCUCUUACAGAAAAUCUGGUUGUCUCAUUUGAGAUCCCUAAUUCCACCACACCCACCGCACAAUUGCAUCGUGGACACACUCGGCAAACAUCGGUGAGAACAGAGAGCUUGAUUGCGGGAGAUCCAUAACAUACUAAAAACUCAAAUCCUUCUCUCUUGCCAUCGAUCUUCCAGAGGGUCCCAAUUCCCAUUCCAUGUGGUUUACUUUCAUCCUCAUAUGAAAUCUUCUAGUCCCAAUUUUCAUACCCUUUAUUUUACUUUCCUCCACAUAGGAUGAGCAUGAAACAGAAACAACUUCGAAAUUCCCUUUCUUUCCAUUCCAUAUGCUUCAUCUGAAAUUGCCAAGCUCCUGCAAGACACCUCUUGGUCUUGGGUUUGAAAUUUGGUGUGCUUUUGCUGCUCUAUUGUUGACAAAACCAAAAACCUUGCAAACGGAAUUGGCUGACGGAAUCGGGUUUUCGUUAAGGGCACGAGUUGGAAACUUAUUUAUUUCGUGUUGGGCUUUUAACUCAGCCCAUGUGUGUGUUCAAUAUUUAUGAGAUCUCAUAAAGAUUAGUUUUGUCCUUAUGAUUAAAUAUGAAAGGUGAAGCCUUUAUUAUUAAAUAAUAUUAUAACGUAGUUUGUGGUUAAAUUAAACUUAGUACAAGCCAUUUUCAUUAAAGCCCCAUACUUAUAAGACGGGGACGGAAGAAAACAAAACCCUAUAACCCAAGAAACAAGGAAAAAUGAGGGAUGAAAGUUCAAAAUAGAUGGCCUGUUGCAGUCCCCCUCCCAUCCGCAUGCAGUUGGAUGGAAAAGACCAAGAUCCUUCGUUAUCUAGUUGCUCCAUGCCUGUAUUUACCUCAAGCUAGGCCUUCACCAUUAGUCCAAAAGUUGAAUUUUUUUUAUUGAUUUUCUAUGUUAUUUCUAUGAUGAAGUUCCGCUACUACGCGGUUCCCCGCUCUUUCUUCCUCCCCCUUCAUUGGAUCGCUUCCUCGCCACUGAAUAGAGUUGCAUAGUUGUUUAUGUACCAAAAAAAAAUCCAAUCAACCAAAAAGUCUGACCAGCUAGAUAGGCAGUGAAAAUGGCUGAAAUUGCCAUUCCACUAGCACUGGUGCUAAUUGAAAAUUUCAAGAUUCCCAACCUCAAUCUUUCAAGCGAUGCCAGGGCUGAUGUUAAAAGAGCCAAGACAAUUUUGCGGAGGAUGCGAGCCUAUCUGACGGACUGCUCAUCGAAACAGAUCGGUGAAAGCUCCCAAGUGUUUCAAAAUCAUGCAAAAGAGGUCCAAGAUGAAGUUUACGACAUUGAGGAUGCUCUUUCCAUGUUUUUGGUUAAGAUUCCUCAUCACUACCAUAGCAAUUUAAUCUCUAGAUCUGCUCACAACGCUAAACAUUACCCUUCUGAAUGGAUAGCACGCAUACAGUUGUCGCGCAUGCUCAAACAAAUCGAAGAAAGGUUUCCACCAAAUUUAGAUUCACUUAUUGACCGCCUACAAAUUGCCAACACAGGAUCUGAAGAAGAUAAUAAUAAUUUGGCUUAUCACCAAGUUGUGGAAGAAGAUGAAAUUGUGGGGUUUGAGACGGCUAUCACAAAACUCAUCCAACAGUUGAGAGAAGAAGAAUGUAUCAGUCAAGGGCAUCUCAUGAUUUCAAUUGUUGGUCCUGGUGGCUCAGGCAAAACCACCCUAGUAAAAAAUGUUUAUGAGAGAAGAAGCGUGCAGGCUGCCUUUGAUUGCCAUGCUUUUGUUGAAGUGCCGCGCUCCUUUGAAUUGCGAAUGCUCUUGCUAACCAUGCUGAGAAAAUUUGAAGCCCAAAGUAUGCAGGAACCUGUAGCUGAGCAUCAUCAUCAUCCUGAAGAGAAAUUGAGACAAAUUCUGGAGAAAAAGAAGUAUUUGGUGGUUUUGGAUAAUGUUUGGAGCGAACAAGAUUUGACACGUAUAGUAAAUGCUCUGCCAAAAGGUUUGUCUGGGAGUAAAAUAAUCACAACUACUCGGGACUCUAAUAUUGUAGCCUCUUGGCAUACAAGUUCUGACGAUUAUAUCCAUGAUUUGAGUAACGGAUUAUCCUCCAAAGAAGCCAAUAAACUAUUCUGCAAAAAGGCUUUUCACGGAAAUUGGGACAACUGUCCAAAAGAGCUUGUGGAGUUGGCUCAAAUAAUCAUCAGUGAUUGUGGAGGCCUGCCCCUUGCAAUUUCUACAUUCGGUACUUUCCUAGCUUGGCAGAAGCCACGGAAUUUUGUGAAGUGGAAGAAGUUCCAUGAUAGCUUUGGCUCCAAUCUUCAGAUUGUUAGUCAAGCUUGGGAGCCAAGUUAUAGGGACCUGCCAUACCAUCUCAAAAGUUGUUUGUUGUACUUCAGCAUGUUUCCAGAAGACAACUCUAUCAAGCGUGAGAGGCUAAUUCGCUUGUGGGUAGCCGAAGGAUUUGUGAAGCAAGGAGGGAGAGCCACCAUGGAGGAGGUUGCAGAUGGUUAUCUAAAUCAACUCAUCGGUAGAAAGUUGGUUGAUGUGAGUUCAAGAGAGAUCGAUGGACAAGUAAGGAGUUGUCGUGUUUCCAACCUCGUUUGCAAGUUCAUCAUGUCAAAAGUGGAGGGUUUUGUCACUGUGUUGGAAUCAAGCAACACUCGGGCAAGUACUAGCAGUACUAAUUCAGGUGAGAAAAUCCGACGCCUUUCUGCACAUUAUGUUUCUAUAAAAGAUUUAUUAAGAAGAGGUGGAGAAUUGAAUCAAACACGUACCUUACUAGUGUUUGGCCCUUCCCAGCAGGCUCAAUGUGAUGAGGUUGGAAGGGUACUUAAUACUCUUAAAUAUUUAAGGGUUUUAGAUUUGAAAGGCAUUCCUUUAGAGGACUUUCCAAAAUCUAUUUCUGGUCUCAUUCUCUUAAAGUACAUAAGUAUGAGGAAAACCAAAAUCAAAAGAGUCCCAAGUUCCAUAAACCGGCUUGCUCAUUUGGAAACUUUAGAUCUUAAGCACACCCAGGUGACCAAAUUACCAGAAGAGAUUUAUAAGCUCUACAAUAUGCGCCAUCUUUUAGUGAGUCGUGGCUGUGAUGGUGAUGAUGAUGGACCCGCUCAAGGAGUAGAGAUUUCUGCAGGCAACAUUGGAGCUUUAUCCGAAUUACAAAAGUUGUCACUGAUUAAGGUGGGAAACAACAGAACAAUACUAAAAGCCUUAGCAGAACUAACUGGUCUCAGAAAGUUGGGCUUGACAGAUCUCAUAAUUGAACAUGGAACAGAGUUGUGUUGCGCUAUUGAGAAAAUGGGAAGUCUUUCAACACUUGAAUUGAGAUCAACAAACGAGGAGGAAUAUCUUGAGUUGGAUCAUCAUAUGGAAUCCCCUCCUCGGUCUCUAGAACGCCUCAGUUUGAAAGGGAGGCUAAGAUGUUUGCCGCAAUGGGUUCCCAUGCUUGAUAGUGUAGUGAAGAUUUCCCUAAUGGGGUCAAAACUUGAUGCUGAUGCCAACCCACUCAAGCCCCUUCAAGCAUUGCCGAAUAUGAUGGAGCUUCAUUUGGUUUGCUAUUAUACCGGACAAGUGUUAGAAUUUGAGGCUAAAACGUUCAUGAAGCUAAAGAUAUUAAGUAUCAAACAAUUUGAUCAACUACAUACCAUGAAAGUUGAGUCUGGAGCAAUGCCUAAUCUUAAGAAGGUAACCCUGUCCAAUUGUAAGAGUUUGAAUUUACCUCCACUCGGCAUGGAGGGUCUACGGGAACUCGAGGAACUGUUUCUCCAUGACAUGCCCACUGUACUCAUUGCCAAGCUUCAAAGGGAUGGUGAAGAUCGUCAGGCGGUUGAGCAUAUUCCAGUCAUCCAUUCUUUUAAUCUCAGGACUGGAUUCCAAAAUCUUUCUCAAGUGAGUAAGCAUUCAAUUUCUUUAUUUGGUGAUCAAUAUUUUUCAGCAACUUCUCGAAAAUUGUAGUUUGCAUUUUUGACCCUCUUGUUUAUUCUCUAGGCAACAGCGCGGGGGUGAGAAGGGAGGAGAAACUGAAGGCGGCAAUGGCUCGAAAAACUUCAACAAAGUGAAGGACACAAGCCGGCGGAGCGAGUCCACUGCCAUUACUCUUUCAGAUGCUUAUGGUUUUUACCAUAGUAUUUCUUAAAAUAAUGUGUGGAUAAAGCUGAGCUAUAUUGACAUAUUUGUCAGCUGUGUUCGGCUUUAUCUUACACAAUGCAUCAAACAUACUUGACACUUUUUGAUGCAAAAACUAAUUACUUGUUUUGCUUAGUUUGUAAUUAUUUUCAAAUGUUAAAUGUGAGGUGUAUGAGCAUGUACCAUUAAACAUUCAUAAAUAUAUAUGCUUUCAAAGUUUCAAACUCUCGUGGCUUUCUUCAAUCAAAAGAGUAAGGCAUACAUACAAGUAGGUAGACUGAAAAAGAUUAGGUAUAAUAUAUCUUCCAUCAAUGCCUCAGUGUGUUUGCCGUCGUUGAGAGAAAUAGCUAGCUUAAAAAUUCAAAGGUUCCGUAUUUUUUAGUCUUUCACACAUCUUUGUUUCAUUAUGUUCAUUGUAUCUGUUUGAUUUGUUCAAUCUGCUUAUAAAAAUAAAAACAGUGUGUGUGAUACUAAAAAUAGUAGGUAAAAAUCAGCUCCAUAUAUAAUAUAUUGGUUAAUAAAAGAAAUCUGAUAAGGAAAUCCAACCUAUCUAAUUAAUUCGGUGGACUGUUGAUGAAAAGAUGUGAUAGUUUUUCGUUUUUUCGGCAACUUCUUUUGAGUAUGGACAAGUCUACAUUUUCCAAGUUCUAGGGCCAAACUAGCUAGCUAGGGAGGGAUCAUGAACAAGUCAAUAUAUUAGAACAUAGUUGUAGUUGUGUUGUGGAUUGACAAAAUGGAGAGAUCAACACUUGAACUGAGAUCAACAACGAGGAGGAAUAUCUUGAUUUGAAUAACGACUUGGGGUUGCAUGUGGCUUCUAGAGUGCCUAUACCAAAUUUUUGUUUAGUAGGUUGAUACCUCCAUAUAUUUAUAUAGUAGUCUGAAUACCAAAUUUUUUUAAUAACUAGGUUGAGAGCUUCAUAGGAUAUACAUUACUAUAAAUAUAUGGAGGUCUCAACCUACUAAACAAAAAUUUGGUAUUGGCACUCUAGAAGACACAUGCAACCCUCAAAUUGUAAUUAUGUAUCUUUUACGCUUUGAGAAAGGCCGAGUCCGAGAUGAUUUUUUAUUGAGCGUGUCAAUUACAAUUUCUUAUUGGCUGCUUGAACUUUUCAUAAAAUUUGAUGAAGGGAAAAUUAUCUCUCCCAUAAUCUGAAAAAAGUUGGUGUUCAUGCGCCCUUUCAGGCUAUUGGGCGGACUCCUUUUUUUAAUAUAACAGUACAUUAACAUAUUAAGGAGAUAAGAGAAUAAAUUGGUUGCAAACUUGUUACUCAUGAUAUUCAAAUUUAAAACAAUUUACUUACAAAUGAAAAAAAAAAAAAUAGUACUGGGUCGUAUAAUGGCUAUUUUGCUUUCAAUAGUCGGAAACCAAGUUCUAAUGUCAUUCGAGAGAACUUUCUUUCAAAUAUUCAGAGAUUGGCUUGUCAGUUUCAGAUUAUUUAUUUCAGCUAUAUAUAUUAGGAGGCAAAUUUAUUGCUGCUUACAAAGAUUGGUCAAUGUUCCUCGAAUAUUCACUGUUGGCUCCAAUCUCUUCCUUGAAAUUCUCACUUGUCAUGGCUUUGUUUGUUUUUUUGUUUUGUUUUUUGUUUUUUUUCAAAAUAGAGGACCAAAUGGUUUUGUCACAGGAGUCCCCCUUUUGAGAAUCAGAAAGACCACUCCUCAUGGGCACCAUCAUCAGGUGAUUUAUCAGCGCCAUGAGUUGAACUCAAGAUGUGCUAUGUGAAAUACGGGUUUAAAAUUUGUUUGAACCAUCUAGUGAUUUGGUUUUUGUUUACCUUAUUUUUUCUGUAAUUUUUCUUUUUAUUAUAUAAAAAGCUUUUCUUAUUUAAAACAUACGAAUGGCAUUUCAAGAUUAAAAGAGAAAAAUUAAUAAAACAAAAAGUCGACACCAGUACUACUGUUUCCACUUGUAAAUUAAAAGAUCUCAUCUACAAUUUUCAUGAAUGAGGAACAGCUUAAUACAAGCAGGCUAAAUAAAUAAAUAAAAAUCAAGUCAAAAUGGAUGGCCUGUUGUAACCUACGCCUUCCAUUAGGAACAAAGACCAAGACUUUUCUCAAUCUAGUUCUGUCACAUACCUUUCACAAUCAAGUCAAAAUGUGUGAAUAUCAAGUAACUAGGUUGAGAGCUUCAUAUGAUAUUACUUUAAGUCUAAAGAAGGAUUUCAAUUGCACUAUUCAAAUGAACAGUGUUUGGAUUCGAAUUUUAGUUUAAUUAUGGCCAUGCCACUGCUUUACAGAGUUGCCUUUGUAGUUUGGACCCGAUUUUUGCUCUAUUUACGGCUAUGCCAGUGCUUUAAUGAGUGUUCGUUGUGGAAGGUUUGGGUUCGAGAGGCCAUGCCGCCUCUAGGAUAGAGAGAGAGGGAGGAGAGGGAGGCCAUGCUGAUGGAGAUAAAGAUAGAGAUAGAGAUAGGAGAGGGAGACAGAGACAGAGCGAAAGAGAGAGAAGGAAAUGGAAGAGUGGGGAUCUUAGUGCCAUUGCUGCAUAUCCUUGAUUUCAUGAGUGGGAGAGGGGGUACAUUCAGAGAAAAGCAUGGGGGUGUCGGCCGAGCUCAGGUACAAUUGUUGUUUUCUGUGGGUGGACAUGUUGAUGGCAGUGUUGACGGAGUAUCUAUCGAAGUGAGUCGACGAAAUGCUCGACUCCGGAAUGUUUGAAGAGUUGGCCGAGUUCAGCACUCAGCAGCCAGAGCAGCGACAUCUCUCUUCCUCAUUGCAAAAUGGGUGUUUUCAGGGUGAGCCGCAAUGCUCUUAAUUUCAAAUAAUGGGUUUGUGUUACUGUGCAGAUUUGGCUAACUUCACAUUUAGUUUCUUGGAAUUGUUCUUUAUUUUUGUUGACCCUAAACACUACCAAACCUACGUGGCGCGCAGGCCGAAUAACUAAUGAGCUAACUAUGUCCUUCGGUUGUAUGCAGGGCGUGCCAACUCGUCGGCCGAGCUCGACCGAAGAGUAAAAUGUGUUGAUGUUGCGUUGACCGCGCGGUUGACUUCUCGAUCUCACGACUACGGCCGAGGAAGGAACACUCUUGACCUUCAGGUUCUAGAGCAUGAAUACAAGGUUGCUAGUUUUGCGAAGUUCACGGAUAGUCGGCGCCAGGCUCGGUCUCAGUUAUAUUAGUCGUGAGAAUAUAUCUACACCGAACCGGUACCAGACUGUACAGACACAAAUACUCGAAAGAGAUAAAUGUCUUGAUGGUGAAUGUAGUUGGGCUAUCGCCAUAUUGAACUCUAAAAUGUACUUAUGAGUAUCCAAUCAUAAAACAACUCGGCGUUCAACGAGCUGAGCCCAGUAAUCUGUAACACCUCACUUCGCCGAGAAGGCUAAUGAGAUGACCUAUGCCGAUAAGAAUUCAGAAACCUUUCUCGACCGAGACUUGGGUAGAUAACCAAUCGGCCUUGACGCAGUGUUAUUUAUCCAAACUGAAGGUGCUUCGCGGUCGACUGAUUCUACAGCAACAACAUUGUUUAUCCAAACUGAAAAUGUUCGCCAGUUGCCUCCAUAGUGUUGUUUAUCCAAACUGAAGGUGUGUCGGCGAAAAAGAAAGUAAAAAAUCUUAAAGUUGUUGAGAGGUUUCGCGUAGAGCGAUGGUUUGCACAGGGCAGUUUGUGUGUUGAAUUGGAGGGGGUUGCAUGUUGCAUGGAGUCUUGUAUUUAUAGUAUUCAUAUUUUCUGCUUGGCAAGGUCUGAUAAUAUUGUAGAGUCUAGCUGUAACUCAAACUCGCGGAACAAAAAUUGAUCCGUGUCAGAGGCCUAUCCUUCAGAUUGCUAUUCGUGGUUUUAAACCUAUCUAGGCUUCUAGGCUUAUCACAUCAUAAUCAGAACUCCCAUCCAUGCCUUGCUUUAUCCCAUUAAAACUCCCAAUGCAACUAUAAAACUUUCUUUUCCAUGAUAUCUGUUAAGGUACAACUACGCAUGUAGUGUGAAUUGCAAUAUGUCACUAUAAUCCAACUUUUGUACGACAAUAGUCUUCAAUCUCAUCCAUAUCUCCUUAUAGUCCUAUCUGACCAACAUUUAAUUUGCACGCAAAUUGUUGCUUAACCAGAUAAGAGUCUCAAAGUUUUGAGAUAUAGUUUGCAUCCCAUUUAUCUUAUAUAAAAACAAUUCUUUAUUAAAAGAUAAUUAUUAUGAUAAAACCAUAAUAAUAUCUUUUAAUAACAAAAUUAUCUUCAUCUUUCCAUCCGCCGAUCUAGAACUAUGCUCAACCAACGACUUUGAUUGCUCGGGCCAAUAGUAUAAAAUCGGGUCCAAACAAUUUUAUUUUAUUUUGCAAUUAUAUAUUUUUAAUGCUUUUAUGUUUGUCUUUCCAUGCUGGGAAAUUGGAAACCUCUGGAAAUAAUAUAGUUCUUGAGCUAAUUUGAAGAUUUUGUGUUGAAUAUUUUGAUUCAUUUUUUUCUAUUUGCACUUAGAAAAACAGAGGAUUAUGGUUACUUAUUGUGCUAUGAAGCUUCUGUUUUUUCCUUUUAUGCCCAAGAUUGAAUUUGUUCUCUCUGCUGUUGAAAAGUAGAACUCUCUCUAUCUCAAAAAAAUAUGAUCCAGUGUGAAGUUUGGUUGUCUCUCUCUCCAGAAACUUAUAUUCCAUAUUGCACCCAUCAACUCUAAUCAUUCCUUGAUCCAGUGUAAUUUUUACGAUAUGUUUAACCUUAGACUUCUUUUCAUGCCUGUCCUCCCUCUAAAUCAACUGAGGAUUCAAAUCCAGCGGGUCCAGCUCAAGAUAUAGAUAAAACAAUUCCAACUCCUAAAAAGGUGUAAUUUGUUAAUCCCCUUUCCUUGGAGUUAAUUUUUAGUGAUGUGUUUUUAAUAGAAUUGCAUAUUUGAGUAGUGAGUUUUUUCAAGGGAACUUUAACAAAAACUUCUGGUACUGUUCACUUUAACGAAUAACCACAUUUUACACUAAAAAGUUAAUCCUGAUACUAUUCACUUUACCCUUUAUUUUGUCCUUAUCUUUAAAACUCAAUUUUCAAGUCCCUUUCUUUAGUUUUCCUUUUUUUCAAUGGUGUUAUUUUUUUAACAAUUUAUAAUACUAUAUGUAAAAUUUAGUUAGAAUUUUUGACACACCCCGACUCGAAUCAGGGCAUGCUGGUCGUUACGUGAGGGUGACGUAGCCAUAUGCACAGUGCGGAAGCAAUAAUGAUGAUAGAGAUACGAAUAAAUAAAAGCCAAAUUCAUAAGAGUAAUAGCUAAGGUAAGUGCUAAUAAAUGUGUGAAUACACAAUCAGAGCAUAAGUAGCCUAAGUUCAGUCCAGAAAACAAAUACUAAUUAAACGACACCCGAAUAUGCCCUACAUUUGUGAUAGUCUGUCAGAACCUCCAGUCAAUCCUCGUGAGCCACCAACAAACAAGCUUAUCUAAAACUUGGUGGGGCGCAAAAUAUAAAGUAUGAGUGGGCAAAAACAAAGUUUUUCAAAACCAUUUCAUUUAUCAAAUGCUCUAACCUCUCGCCGUAAAACAUGUAUAAUUUUCCCAGAAAUAGAAUAUAUAUAUAUAUAUAUAUAUAUAUAUAUAUUCAAAUCAUGCUUCACUUAACCACAAACAUAAGUAUGUCAUGCCAAAUAUAGAACAUAAUAAGUAACUCAGGUGAAGAUAAGUUCAUAGAAAUAACAUAUUAGUCGGAACCCCUGCAGAGGUCUAUGCGGCUGAAUUCAUGGCUCAUCAAUCAAUCUAGCCAGAGUCACCGCACGCGACCUAUACGGCACUGCACUGCACACGAGUCGGAACCACUAUAAUGGUCUGUACGACAAAACUGGGUGUAAUAUAGUUAUGUUCAAUGCUACGCUCUCGUAUAAGCUGUGUGAUAAAUCGUUGGUCGCCUACGAGUUGGAACCACCUAUAGUGGUAUGUACGACAAGAUUGUGCACUUAAAUGGGAUCCAAUGUGAGCAUAUGGUGCGGGAAAUGUCAUUAUAAACAGGCCUGUACCAAAUUUCUGGCUAAUCACAAUCACCCGGGGUGCAGGUUUAUGAGCUCUCAAUCACAUUUCACAUUAUCACUAUCUCAUACAACAAACCAUAACUCACCUGGUACCUACCUGAGCGUCCACAUCACUAAUUCACAUUUAUGCAUACAAUUCUAACUCAUGGUUUAAACAUAAUUCAAUAGGCAUGGCAUUUUCAAAGCAUAACUCAUUUAAAUGCAUUUUCUGGGAAAAAUACCAAGCAUAUACAUAUAUACUGAAAACCAAAAGCCCACUCACUGGUAUGUUGAAGGGUCGUAGCCCCUGUGUCGCCCUUGACUGCGCUUGUCCUCGGGAUAGGUCUCACCCAUGCGCGAAAUACCUGAAUAAACGUCAUUUAAAGCACAUAACCAAUACUGGCUAAUAACUUCUCAUACAUUGCUCAAAUGAGGUAUAUAAAUAUACCAUCGUGACCUACACAACUCCACGAACAUGCCCAAAUUUUUAAAAUAAUUUUUAGAGUCCUCAUGCGUCGGCAAGGGCACGGCCCUACACGCAGGCACGCGCAGGGACCCUAACGGAAUCCCUUAACCCCGUUAGGAAUAUUUCGUUAAAAAGUAACAAAAACCUUUAAAACUAACCAACACCAUUAGGAAUAUUUCGUCAAAUUUGAUAGAAUAUUCUGUCAUCCCCUACCUUCAAACUCCGGCGAUCGUCACCGUCGCCAGAAACUGGAAAAACUUUAAAACCUUGUAUCUCGGUCAUUUCUUAACCAAAACUUAUGAAAUUGGUCUCAAUUUAAAGCUUAUAACCAGAAGAACACAUCCUUACCAAUUUCAAGGCUUGAAAUCCACGAUAACUCUCCACAGAGAGCUCGAUAAUUCCGGCCAAAUUUGAAACUCUUCAAACUCGACUUCCCGACGUCCAAUUUGCUUGGUUUUUCUCUUUGAGCUUCGUAAGGAUGUUUUAAAGCUUCCUAUAAGCUUCAAAUCUCCUGAAACAUCCAUAAUUACGACCACAUGAACAGUGCAUCAAAAUUGAGAUUCUGAGUUCCCGGGUUUUCGAGGGUUUCACUUACAAAAAAUGGUAUGGAUAAGCUCAUGGACUUGCAAGGAACACAAAGAUCGCUUCCCCAGCUCCGAUCCACGAUUGGAAGUGAAGGUUUGAAGGUUGUCCGUACAGGUUGUACGGAAAUGGUGAAAAUCCGAGAGAGGGAGGAGAGAGAUAAGUCAACGGGAGGUGUGUGUGUGUGUGUGUGUGAGUGUGUGGUCCAGUUUUGGGUCACUAAUCACAACUAAAAUUACUAACUUUAAGUUCCAAAAACUUAGGAACUAACCCAUUUAGUUUAAACCCAACCUUAAGCCACAACACCACAUAAACAUGCUCAAUGUCCAAGGGCAAUUUAGACAUUUUACACCAUCGAUAACAAUAAUUCGGGAUGGGCUGUGACAAUUUUUUUAAACAACUAUAAUAUUGUUUGAUUUCAAUUUGUAAUUACCAUUUUUUGUUAAAUUUAAGCUUAAUUAUGUUAGUAAAUCUUUAUACCUUAUGUCCAAAUACGUAUACAAUAUAGUAUAUGAUACAUAUACAGUACUAUAUAUGUAUAGUUUUUAUAAUGUUACUGAGCAUUUUCAAUAUAUGCUAUGUUGUGUGUAGGGAGUGAAAAGUGCAUUCUUCACAAAGGCAAAAUAGAGAACAUUUUUUUUUUUUUGACAAAGGUAAACAAUUCCAUUACCAACAACCCAAAUACACAACAAAGGUCCAAAGACAAAUAGAGAACAUAUUAUAUUUCAUAUGAAAAGAAGAGGUUAGUUUGAUUGUCAUUGCUUUUUUCAUAUGGUUUAACUUCUAAGUUACUUGGCUUACGUCUAAUUUAAUUGUUUGCUUGCCCAAGUUAAAGUCAUUCGUUUUAUUAAUGCUGGUGAACAAAAUCAACCUGAGUUAAUGCUAAUACAAUAUCAUAAUUUCCAUUAGUCUUGAUUGUCUUAACCCUUUCUUUUCCGUUUUUACCAAAAUUUCAUAAAAUUUUUGCACAAGUAUUUUUUUAUAGAAAUUGAGUUGAUUUACUAUUUUACUGUCUCCUGGUAGAUUUUUCUUAUUCGUUGUUCAAAAUUAGUAUUGCAUUUUUUAAGUGGUGGAACAUACCCAAAUUAAACCUAUAAUAGCACCAAAUUAAACUUAUAUUAAAGUGUUCUUCAGCUGCAAAUGUGGGCGUGGCCAUAUUUCAAGAUAUGUUCCCACCCCAUCCCUUGGUGCAAACAAAUUUAUAUUAAUACAAAAAAAAAAUGUUGUUUGUCUCAAAAGAAAAAAGAUGAGAUAUUUUAACAUUUUUCAACUUUUAGAAGACAAAAACUAACAAAAAUUGGUCUAGAACAAAGGAUUUACAUUAGUAUAUCCAUAAUUGAAGGAUUUAAGCCCUUUACAUACAUUGAUUUUUCUACAAAGACUUGGUUCAUAUGGCAGCUAAACAAUAUGUGAAGGUUGAAUAGUUGACUUAGUUGACUUGCACGCAGGCGAGAAUAUAAUGUAUUAAAUUAGAAUAGAAUUACCCUGAUAACCCUAAGUUUUAUACAAACAUUUAAAGGGUUAAAUUGGAAUGCACCCUGCAGAAACUUCAAAGAAAUAAAGUUUAUCUAGAAAGAAAAGGAUGUGUGUACCUAACGGAGUAAAAAUAUGAUGACGGUGUUCAAGCUAAUUUGGAUUAUAUUUGCUUUCUAUAUUGCAUUUGCUUUCUCAAAUUGAGAGUUAUUAUAAUCUAAAUAGAGAUGACUUGAAUGGCCAUUUUUUUUAAGGUUGAGUCGGAAAUUCGGAGUAUAUAAUUUCAAAAUGUGCUAAACAGGGUGCUUCUUUUCUAUUGAUGGACCUUCUUUAUUUGAAGAUGGUUAUACUUGCAGACUAAAUAAAUAAAUAAAAACAAGUCAAAAUGGAUGACCCAUUAUAACCUAUGCCUCCCAUUGGGAACAAAGACCAAGACCUUUCACAAUCUAGUUAUGUCGCACACUAUGUUGGUAGGGCAAAUUUUAGUGUGGUGGUCAUAUAGUAUGUUGUCAAGUCUUAAAUAUCAAGUUAGAUUAAAAGUUAGCAUAUUACAUUUUUCCUCCAAACCAUAUGAUCAGCAGUUUUGGUUUCUGAAGCGAUUUCAGAUCCUAAAUUUUAUUAAAUACAACAAGAAUUGUUACAAGGUUAAAGACACCAAAAAUCCAAUUUUUAAAAGCGAUUAUAAUCAUGGUGGCACAUUUAGUGGUGCAAUUUACGUUAAGUUGUAGUGAAUUCAUGACAUGGAUUGAGGAGGCUCCUUCAUGGCAAAUGACAAUUUCAAAGGCUGAGCUGGAAAUUCGGAGUAUAUAAUUUCAGAAGGUGGUAAACAGAGAGCUUCUUUUCUGAUGAUGGACCUUCUUUAUUUGAAGUUGGUUAUACUUGCUGACUAAAUAAAUAUAUAAAAACAAGUCAAAAUGGAUGGCCCAUUGUAACCUACACCGCCUCCCAUUGGGAACAAAGACCAAGACCUUUCACAAUCUAGUUCUGUUACAGUAGGGCAAAUUUUAAUGUGGUGGUCAUAUAGUAUGUUGUCAAGUCUAAAAUAUCAAGUUAGAUUAAAAGUUAGCAUAUUACAUUUUCCUCCAAAUCGUGUGAUCAACAGUUUUGGUUUCUGAAGCGAUUUCAGAUCCUAAAUUUUAUUAAAUACAAUAAGAAUUGUUAGAAGGUUAAAGACACCAGAAAUCCAAUUUUUAAAAGCUAUUAUAAUCAUGGUGGUACAUUUAGUGGUUCAAUUUGCGUUAAGCUGUAGUGAAUUCGUGGCUUGGAUUGAGAAUGCUCCUUCAUGACUAAUGGCAAUUUUGGAGGUUGAGUCGGAAAUUCGGAGUAUAUAAUUUCAGAAGGUGGUAAACAGGGAGUUUGUUUUUUGUUGAUGGACUCUUUAUUUGAAGAUGGUUAUACUAGACGGGUGUUUUUGAAGUCUUUGUAUGCCAUUGCUUUAUUUUCCAAUCAAUCCAUCCCAAAUGUGUAAUGCUUUAUUAAUGUGGAAUGAAAUUCAUCGAUGUUGAUAAAAUAAAAAGAGACCAGAAAGAACAAAAAAUUGCUAUAAAACAAUAUAUAUGUUACAUACUGGGGAUCCGCACAAGUGGAGCUACUUAUCCGUAUGUGCUUUAGCUUCAUGUUCCAUUCAAAGGAAUUGGGAGUGAAAAAUGCCUGAAUUAUUUUCUGUUCCCUUGGCAGUGGAACUAGUUGAGAAUUACUUAACCCACAUAUCCAAUUUUUCAAAGAGAUUCUAAUCAUGAUGUUUUAAAGAGCCCAGGAUAUGCUUGGGAAGGAUAAAAAUAAAAUCAUGAAAGUCUACCUAAGUAAGGGACUACUCAUCAUCAGAAGCCCGGAUCACUGAGAUUCAAGAUAAAGAUUACUAUAGCGAAAAUGCUCUGGACAAGUUCAUAGCUUUAGAAAUUUAUUCAAGCCAUGGUGUUAUUUGUAGUAAUUUCAAAUAACGUAAUUUCUCUAGCCCACCUCCUUUUAUCCCUCCCGCUGUAACAUUUUUUUUGUUGGAUUUUUUCAUAAUGUGUUACCAAUCCAAUUCUCAACAAACAAUAAGAAAGUAUAUGUGAGGAUGUGAAUGUAAAAGAGUAUCACAUCAGUGAAAAGAGAAACUUUGCAAGAGCUUAUAAAAGGUUAGACUAUUCUUCAUAUUACCAAUUAGUUUUAUGGUGGAACCUCAAUUUUCUUCAUGGUAUUAGAGCAAGUUGGCCCACGUAUGAUGCCCAAUAGCCACACGUGUUAUACGUCACUCAAUUCGUGUUGUCCACGUGUUUGCCACACGUUAGGGGAAGUGUAAGAUUGUGAAGGUAAAACUAUCACACCUGAAAGAAAACCCUUGGAAAGGCUUUAUAAAGAUAUACCUUGAGUCUAUCUAUGAAAUUUGCGUGGGCAGACCUCCAAUCUGAACUGGCCCUCUCAGACCCAAAUUUUGCAUGGCUGUAGCCUAUAUAGCAAACAUUUUUAUUUCUCAUCAACUUAUUCUGAAUGGCUAGUUUCUAUUCUAUGGAAUUUUUAGGAAGAAAGAUUCAUGGAUGCAUGGCUAGUUUCUCUUCUUUGGAAUCCUUGAUUGACGUAGGCCAAAUUUCUCAAGGGACGCCACUUGAGAAAAUGCCAUGGUCCUCGUGCUUGAAACUGUAGUUUGUCAUACAAACUUAAAGAGUUAGACGGAAGAAAGUGAAACCUUAUAACCAUAAGCCAAGAAACAAAGAAAAAUUGAGGAUGAAUGUUCAAAAUGGGUGGACUGUUGUAGCCGCCCUCCCAUCCGCAUGCAAUUGGAUUGGAAAAACCUAGACCUUUCGUUAUCUAGUUGCUCGAUACAUGCAUUUACCAAGACCCUUCGUUACAACAACAACAACAACAAAGCCUUUUCCCACUAAGUGGGGUCGGCUAUGUGAAUCCUAAAACGUCAUUGCGCUCGGUUUUGUGUCAUGUCCUCCGUUAGAUCCAAGUACUCUAAGUCUUUUCUUAGGGUCUCUUCCAAAGUUUUCCUAGGUCUUCCUCUACCCCUUCGGCCCUGAACCUCUGUCCCGUAGUCACAUCUUCGAACUAGAGCGUCAAUAGGCCUUCUUUGCACAUGUCCAACCCACUCAUUCCUAAUCUUAUCCUUUCUCGGGAGUCCACACCUCCAACGAAGCAUCCUCAUCUCCGCUACACCCAAUUUGUGUACGUGUUGAUGUUUCACCGCCCAACAUUCUAUACUAUACAGCAUUGCUGACCUUAUUGCCGUCCUAUAAAAUUUUCCCUUGAGCUUCAGUGGCAUACGACGGUCACACAACAUGCCGGAUGCACUCUUCCACUUCAUCCAUCCCGCUUGUAUUCCAUAUAUUCUGUCUUUGAUCAGCUUAGGCGAAGACCUUUAGAUUCUAACACUUCUCUUCAAAGGUUAAGCUUCGCAUUUACGCCUUCCUGAGUUUCAUCUAUCAACCAUAUAUCGUCUGCGAAAAGCAUACACCAAGAAAUAACAUCUUGAAUAUGUCUUGUCAACUCAUCCAUUACCAAUGCAAAAAGGUAAGGACUUAAGGAUUGUUGAUGCACAAAAUCAGUAAGGACUUUGGUACAACAGAAAGUAUUAAGUUUGUGACAUUCGCUAGAUUGCUCUGGUCAUUAGUGUGGAUAAGUAUGUAAAAGGAUAGAGACAGGAGAGCAAACACAAGAUGUACGUGGUUCACCCAGAUUGGCUACGUCCACGGAGUAGAGGAGUUCUCAUUAAUUGUGAAGGGUUUACACAAGUACAUAGGUUCAAGCUCUCUUUUAGUGGGUAUGAGUGAAUGAUUUAGUAUAAAUGGCAUUAGGAAAUAUUUUGGGAGAAUGAUCUCCUUUUAUAGAAGAGAGUUUCUAGCCUUGUUCUGACAUUGACAUGUGUCGUGUUGUGAUUGGCUUCCAAUGUUGACAUAUGUCGCGCUAUGAUUGGCUUCUGAUGUCGACAUGUGUCGCUCUGUGAUUGGCCUCCUGGUUGGAGGAGAAGCUGCUCGGUUGAGGACUUGCAAGAUCCAAGCCGUUAAGUAAUCACGAAACUUCUAAGUACCGAAGUGUGGUAUCGUCUUCAUUUACCUUAUCUGUCUCAUAGGUAGAUGUGGCAUCUUCUCUAGAAGUACUCUUCCUCCAUCCAGGGGUGGUAUCUUUAACUGGUGGAGAUGCACAAGGUAAUGUAUUAAUUUCACUUGAAGCUUACUUGUAGUUUUAGGCUUGGUCAAGCGCGAUACAAACCAUGUAGUAGGAGUACCCCAAGUUGCCGAGCUAAGGGAUCUGUUGAAAGAGGUGACAGACAAGGUAAGCAAUCAGAGCUCCAAGCAAUCAGUCCCAGAUCAGAAGUUUGAUUUCGAGUUCCGGCUGAUUGUUCUCAUUCUCCUUAUCUUGUAGGCAGCAUGAAGGAUAAAAAGAAGAAAAGGAGAAGAGAUGAUAUGAGAUACUUUUUCUUUUGAAGAAGUAACUUUCCACAGGCUUAUUCUUGAACUGGGCUGGAGGGUUUUCUGGUUACCUCCAGAGUAUAAGACCGACUGAAGAAUUUGAGGGUCAAAACAAGUCCAUCAAAUCUAGAGUACGGUCGACCCUGCUGAUAUGUGAUACUUUUGCUGUUGACAAAGUAAUGGAAGUAUCGGCACAUGUUAUGUUACGCUUGUCUUCAUAUGCUUCCUUGUAUCCUUCUCACUUGCCCUAUCUGUUCCUCAGGCAGAUGUGGUAUCUUCUCUAGAAGCAUAAGAUGUUGAAGAUGAGUACUCGAGAGCAAUGCCAGGUAAGUAAUCAGGUAAGGGGUUCCAGGCAGUUAGUUCCUGACUGGAAGCUUGAUUCCAAUUGCUGACUGAUUGCUCUUUUGCUCCUUGUCUUGCAGGUAAGAAUAAGGCCAAAGGAAAAGACAGGGAAAAAGCAUGAUAUGGGAUACUUUUGCUUUUAACCCUAAUGAUAUGAGAUAUUCUUGCUCUGGUGUAGCUUGUUUGCAGAGGUAUGAUCGGGGGGAAAGAAAGCUGAGUAUUUUGAGAGGCUUCGUUUGGAGUGCCCUCUCAGAUAUGAGGAAGGGUUGAUCAUUUUUGUAGGUCUGCCUGUCCGUUGAGGAUGGAGGUCGACAUAUAUAGGAGUCUCCCUAACAACAAAUAGUAAUGUUAUUCUUUUACCCUUCUUGGUCAUAACACUGUAGUAUGAGCUACCAACUUCACAUGUUUUAACUCUGUCAGAGCACUUUGAAAAAGUGGUCUGUGGUAUCUGGAAAGCUGAUGUUGCGUAUGAAGAUUACAGACAAGCUUUAUCCAAUGAGAUCUGGCUCUCGAAGUUGAGAAAGCGAUGCUUCUUCGAUUUUCGAACAAGCGAUCCUAUCGGGGAUCUGGCUCUCGAGAUUCGGAGAACAGUGCCUCUUUGAUUUUUGAGAAAGCAAUCCUACUGGGAGCCUAGCUCUUGAAAUUCGGAGAGCGGUGUCUCUUCAAUUUUUUAGAAAGUAAUCCUGUUGGGAGUCGGGCUCUCGAGAUUUGGAGGGCGGUGCCUUUUUUAUUUUGGAGCAAGCAAUCUUGUUGGGAGUGUUUUUUUGAAUGUGAGUAAAGGUUGGGCAUUUUUGCUAGUCUACCUCGCCACGGAGUACAGAGGUUGACACACAGGGACUUUCCAAUUAUCCAGCAGUGGUGAUGUUCCUUUACCCUAAUGGGUAAUAAUAUGGUAGCUAAACCUUCAAAAUUUAUGUGUCUAAACUUUGUUAGUGCUGUUUCUUUGCUAUUCUUUUACCCUUCUUGGUUAUAGCGAUGUACUGGGAGCUGCAAGCUUCACGUGUCUAAACUUUGUCAAAGAUCUUUGGCAAAAUUAUCUGUGGCAUCCAUGAGCUGAUGUUGCGUGUGGAAAGUUGAUGAUUGAACAGUAAGAUUCACGUGCUUUCUACUUCACCAGAAAUCUUCGACAGAUUGUCCGUAAUUUCUGCAAAGUUGAAUGUGCAUGUGACAGGUGCUGACAAGGCUGAGAAAGCUGGUGCCUCUUCGAUUUCUUAGAUCGGCCAUCGUGGUCUCUGAGCAGCCCAGCUUUUGAGAAAGCAAGCGCCUCUUCGAUUUUUGAGAUCAGCUCUCGUGGUCUUUGAGCAGCCCAACUUUUGAGAAAGCAAACCCCUUUUCGAUCUCUGAGAUCGGCCCUCGUGGUCUCUGAGCAGCCCAGCUUUUGAGAAAGCAAACGCCUAUUCGAUUUCUGAGCAGGCACCUUUUCGAUUUCUGAAGCUCCGUCGAAUGCAGAUUUUUAUAGAGGUUGACAUUAAAUUCCAAAGCACACUUGAAUCUCCACUAGUAGAAGCUCCAUUCUUGCACUUCUAAGAUCUUGAUUUGUCUGACCUAUUCUCUCUUCAACACCUUUGAAAAUGUCUGGCCCUUCCGACCUUCGUUUUGACUUGAACCUUGGUGAAGAGGCAGCCGCACCUUCUUCAGACAACAUAUGGCGCUCAUCCUUACCGUUGGGGAUUCCGUGAUGAAAAAUGAUAUGAUCGCUACGUUGGUGGCCAGGAACAUUCUCACUCCCAAAGAUAACAGACUUCUUUCCAAACGGUAUGAUGAGUUGGCUGUCUGAUGAUGAGUUGGCUGUCUGAUGAGUUGGUUGUUAAGGAUUAUCUGGCUCUCAGUGUUCAGUGUGCAGGUUCUGUGUCGAAUAUGGCCCAACGCCUAUUUGCUCGAACCCGCCAAGUUGAAUCAUUGGCGGCUGAAGUGAUGAGUCUCAAGCAGGAGAUUAAAGGGCUCAAGCAUGAGAAUAAACAGUUGCACAGGCUCACACAUGACUAUGCUACAAACAUGAAGAGGAAGCUUGACCAGAUGAAGGAAUCUGAUGGUCAGAUUUUACUUGAUCAUCAGAGGUUUGUGGGUUUGUUCCAAAGGUAUUUAUUGCCUUCGUAUUCUGGGGCUGUACCGCAUAAUGAAGCUCCAAAUGAUCAGCCUCCGAUGCCUCUUCCUUCUAGGGUUCUGUCCAAUACUGAGGUUCCGAGUGAUCACCCUCCGGUGUCUUCUCUUUUUGGGGUUCUACCGACUGCUAAGACUUCUCAUAAGCAACCCUUGUAAAAGCCUCCUCUUGUUUGUUUAUUUUGAUUCAUGUAUAUGUACGUAUUUGUAAUUUAUCAGAGAUAUCAAUAAAUAAGCUUUGCUUCAUUUCAACGUAUUAUGUUAAAUACACCAAAGCCUUCUUCACUAAGUUCUUUGAAUUUUUCUUUUGUUGAAGCUUGUAUGUUGAAGCUUUGUGAGUGAAACAUGUAGGUUGAGGUAGUGUUCCCUUAAUUUCUCGAGUGAGGAAAACUUCUCGGUUGGAGACUUGAAAAAUCCAAGUCACUGAGUGGGGUUGGCUAUAUGAAUCUUAGAACGCCAUUGUGCUCGGUCCUGUGUCAUGUCCUCCGUUAGAUCCAAGUACUCUAAGUCUUUUCUUAGAGUCUCUUCCAAAGUUUUCCUAGGUCUUCCUCUACCUUUUCGGCCCUGAACCUCUAUCCCGUAGUCGCAUCUUUUAACCGGAGUGUCAGUAAGCUUUUUUUGCACAUGUCCAAACCACCGUAACCGAUUUUCUCUCAGUUUUCCUAUAAUUUUGGCUACUCCUACUUUACCUCGGAUAUCCUAUAAUCUUAUCCUUUCUCGUGUGCCCACACAUCCAAAUGAGCAUCCUCAUCUCUGCUACACCCAUUUUGUGUACGUGUUGAUGCUUCACCGCCCAACAUUCUGUGCCAUACAGCAUCGCCGACCUUAUUGCCGUCCUAUAAAAUUUUCCCUUGAGCUUCAGUGGCAUACGACGGUCACACAACACGCCGGAUGCACUCUUCCAUUUCAUCCAUCCAGUUUGUAUUCUAUGGCUGAGAUCUCUAUCUAAUUCUCCGUUCUUUUGCAAGAUAGAUCCUAGGUAGCGAAAGCAGUCGCUCUUUGGUAUUUCCUGAUCUCCGAUCUUCACCCCUAACUCAUUUUGGCCUCCAUUUGCACUGAACUUACACUUCAUAUAUUCUGUCUUUGAUCGGCUUAGGCAAAGACCUUUAGAUUCCAACACUUCUCUCCAAAGGUUAAGCUUCACAUUUACCCCUUCCUGAGUUUCAUCUAUCAACACUAUAUCGUCUGCGAAAAGCAUACACCAAGGAAUAUCAUCUUGAAUAUGUCAUGUUAACUCAUCCAUUACCAACGCAAAAAGGUAAGGACUUAAGAAUGAGCCUUGAUGUAAUCCUACAGUUAUGGGGAAGCUUUCAAUUUGUCCUUCAUGAGUUCUUACGGCAGUCUUUGCUCCUUCAUACAUAUCCUUUAUAGCUUGGAUAUAUGCUACUCGUACUCCUUUCUUCUCCAAAAUCCUCUAGAGAAUGUCUCUUGGGACCCUAUCAUACGCUUUUUCCAAAUCUAUAAAGAUCAUGUGUAAAUCCUUUUUCCCCUCUCUAUAUAUUUCCAUCAAUUUUCGUAAGAGAUAGAUUGCCUCCAUGGUUAAGCGCCCUGGCAUGAACCCGAAUUGGUUGUCCGAAACCCAUGUCCCUUGCCUCAAUCUAUGCUCAAUGACUCUCUCCUAGAGCUUCAUUGUAUGACUUAUUAGCUUAAUACCCUUAUAGUUCAUGCAAUUUUGUACGUCGCCCUUAUUCUUGUAGAUAGGCACCAAAGUGCUCUUUCGCCACUCAUUUGGCAUCUUCUUCGUUUUCAAAAUCCUAUUGAAAAGGUCAGUAAGCCAUGCUAUACCUGUCUCUCCCAAGACUUUCCACACUUCGAUCGGUAUAUCAUAUGGGCCCACUGUUUUUCUAUGCUUCAUCUUCUUCAAAGUUACAACCACUUCUUCCUUCCUGAUUCGACGAUAAAAUGAGUAGUUUCUACACUCUUCUGAGUUACUCAACUCCCCUAAAGAAGUACUCAUUUCAUGUCCUUCAUUGAAAAGAUUAUGAAAAUAACUUCUCCAUCUGUCUUUGACCGUGUUCUCUGUAGCAAGAACCUUUCCAUCCUCAUCCUUGAUGCACCUCACUUGGUUUAGAUCCCUUGUCUUCUUUUCCCUUGCUCUAGCUAGUUUAUAGAUAUCCAACUCUCCUUCUUUGGUAUCUAGUCGCUUAUACAUAUCGUCAUAAGCCACUAACUUAGCUUCUCUCACAGCUUUCUUCGCCUCUUGCUUCACUCUUCUAUACCUUUCACCAUUUUCAUCGGUCCUAUCCUUAUAUAAGGCUUUACAACAUUCCUUCUUAGCCUUCACCUUUGUUUGUACCUUCUCAUUCCACCACCAAGAUUCCUUUUGGUGUGGAGCAAAGCCCUUGGACUCUCCUAAUACCUCUUUUGCUACUUUUCGGAUGCAACUAGCCAUGGAAUCCCACCUUUGGCUAGCUUCCCCCUCUCUAUCCCACACACACUGGGUGAUUACUUUCUCUUUGAAAAUGACUUGUUUUUCUCCUUUUAGAUUCCACUAUCUAGUCCUUGGGCACUUCCAAGUCUUGUUCUUUUUUCUCACUCUUUUGAUAUGUACAUCCAUCGCCAACAAGCGAUGUUGAUUAGCCAAGCUCUCUCCCGGUAUAACUUUGCAAUCCUUACAAGUUAUACGAUCCCCUUUCCUUAUUAAAAGAAAAUCUAUUUGUGUUUUUGACGACCCACUCUUGUAGGUGAUCACAUGUUCUUCUCUCUUCUUAAAGAAGGUGUUGGCUAAGAAGAGAUCAUAUGCCAUUGCAAAAUCCAGGAUAGCUUCCCCAUCCUCGUUUCUCUCCCCAAAACCAUGGCCACCAUGAAAACCUCCAUAGUUGCCUGUCUCCUUGUCCACGUGUCCAUUUAAAUCUCCUCCUAUAAAUAACUUCUCCGUCUGAGCAAUUCCUUGCACCAAGUCUCUAAGGUCUUCCCAAAAUUUCUCAUUCGAACUCGUAUCCAACCCUACUUGAGGUGCGUACGCACUAAUCACAUUGAUGAGUUCUUGUCCUAUUACAAUCGUGAUUGCCAUGAUUCUAUCUCCUACCCUCUUGACAUCUACAACAUCUUGUGUCAAGGUCUUGUCCACGAUGAUGCCAACACCGUUUCUCAUUCGAUUUGUGCCCGAAUACCAGAGUUUAAACCCUGAGUUUUCUAGAUCUUUUGCCUUAAGACCAACCUACUUAGUUUCUUGUAGGCACAUAAUAUUUAUCCUUCUCCUCACCAUAACUUCCACUAAUUCCAUAGAUUUUCCCGUUAGAGUUCCUAUAUUCCACGUUCCUAAACGCAUUCGAAAAGAAGAGUCUAUGGCCCCCUUGCUCAUUUAACACUGCAUCCGGGUGCCGAUGGAGAUACAGCGACCUUUGCUCACCUAUCACUGUGCUCGGGCCACACAGCGCGCCACUUACUGGUGACGCCCUAGCUUUAGCGUGAUUUUGUUCUGGAUUCAUUUUCAUAAGGAUUCGACGUAAACUAGGAGUGCCGGCUGUCGACUACCUGACGCCCUCCCCCUCUUCCUUUAUCCGGGCUUGAGACCUGCAAUGUAAGAUAAACUUACACAGGCGGAGUUACCAAGACCCUUCGUUAUGUUCCAAAAUUGAUUGUAUUACUUUGUAUAUUCUAUCUCAUUUCUAAGACAAAGUUAGGGGCGGAGUCAUGUGAGGACGAACAUGGUCGCAAAACCCUUAUUCUCCAUUACUCCUCAGCUCCCCCAUCUUUCCUCCUGUUCUAGCGUAAAACCUUGCUCGCCAAUGAAUAGAGUUAUACAGUUGUUUUAUACAAAAAAUUUAAUUUUUACCAUGGAGGCGUGCAAUGUAGCUACUUAUAUUUCAGGCUUAAUAAUUCCAGUGAAAAUGGCUGAAUUUUCCGUUCCACCUAGCAAUGAUGCUAGUUGAGAAUUUCAAGAUUCACAAACCUAAACUUAAACCUUUCAAGCAAUGUCAGGGAUGAUGUUGUUGAAAGAGCCCUCAGAAUUUUGAGCAGGAUGAUGCAAGCCUAUCUGACGGACUGCUUAUCGAAACAAAUCGAUGAAAGCUCCCAAUUAAGUGAUUCAAAAUCGUGCAAAAGAUAUCCGAACUAUAACAUGUGUAUAUUCAUUAAUCAGUGGUUACUCAACUCUUAUUUAUGGCCGUGCGGUGAGCCACAGCUCAAUUUCAUUCACUAGACAUCAAGUUUGCCCCUUACAAUAACAAAAUGCAUACACGAGAACAUAGCCAACAAUAUAUAAGUUUAUAAAAUAAAUGCAAAAGGCCAUAGCAUUUCUGUACUGGUGAAUUCCUGCCUUCUUCACUUCAGCAAAGUUCUAAGCCAACUUAACCGUCAGUUCGUCCUUUACCUGAUCACCAUUUCAGUUACUCUCCUUCCCCCCACAGUGGCCUAGAGAUAGAGAAGAAAGAGAUCAAAAUAUUAAAACCCUAGUCAAAACUAUUGCAAUUCAUCAACCAAAAAACAAGCAGGCAAUUGAAUGCUUUAUUUACCUUGUGUUUCUUUAGGGUCAACUCAAUCAGGAAAGAUUUUGAAAUCCAGUGAAGGACUGGUUGCUCCCGAGAUGGAAAGAGUGGAUGACUCGAAUAUGCUCAACAUGAGCACGGUCCUCACUGUCUUUCCCAAGCUUAGCGAUGAACUCAUCAGGCAUGUCAUAUAGAAGCAGUUCGUCGAGAUGCGUAAGAUGCUCCAUUCCAAGUGGAAGUAAGCUCAAAUUUUGACAUCUAGACAUGAUUAGCUUCUCAAGCUUAUGUAAGAUUAAUAAAUGCGGAAUAAGUAAAUCACAAUACCAAAUAAUUAACCACUAACCUUUGACGCCAUUGCUGCAAUGAACUAAGGAUUCGUCUACUCUCAACACAGACCGAAUGCACUGCUACAAUCAAUGGGGCUUGAUAUCUUUUUGUGCGUAAUCCGUGUGAGAGCAGGGGACCCCUAUUAUAUAUCCUAAAUGGUGGUGUUUGAUAAGGAUACUUCCCAUCAUGUAAUCCUUAUCAAACUAUCAAACCGAUAACCCUUAUCACCACAAACCAUACUAUUCAUAUCAGUAUAGAUAUAUCUACUCAUAUCAGAAUUACUUUAGCUAUAUAUCAGUCCACAUACAUUCCUUGAUAGCUUACAAGUAUAGUCAAUCCUAAUCUCUUAUGAUCUCAAACCCUUAAGCACGUGUCAAACAAGUGAGCAGCUCUAACAAAGCUUACAUUCUCCCACUAGAGCCAACACUUGUUUAUCACAGUACCACCUAAUAAGAAAUCAUACUUGAAUGGCCAUGAGAAUAAGAUUAACAAAACCCUGAUAACAAGUUUCUGUCAUAAGUUAGUAUUCAUGAAGAACUAAAGGGAAGUCAUGCUCCAAUAUAUAAACAUUAUCCCCAAAAUUACUGUCAUGAAACCAUCAAACACAUGAAACUCCAUCAAGACAUGAAAAAUAAUACAAGAUGCAAAUAUGAAUGCUUCUUUAAUGCACUUGCAUUAUGGUCCUCCCUUAAGACCAGUAAACUAGUCCACUUUAUUGUCUCGUACUGAGACCCUUAAGUUGCUUUUUUUGUUACAACAAUUCAAACAAAUUGUCAUCCAAAAUACACUUUCAUAAUGUAUCUGUAUCAUAACUAUAACACUGCAAUUUCUGGGAAACCUUUGCAACUAGCAGCGUAUUACUUUAUUAGUUAAGAUGAUCUAAACAUAAAUACUUUAAUGCAUAUUCCAAAAAAUACCUGAAUCAACCAAUGUCCAAGAACAAAUGUCUUAAACAUGAUCUAAACUCCCACUUUUCUGCAGUACCAAAAACUUCCAGCACUUCCAUCUUCCUUGUAUGUUUCUUGAAUAUUGCCUUUGCAAUGGCCUUGUUCAACGGAUAUGCUAUCAUAGAACCUGUCUCCAAAUAAUUGAUUUUAACCAAACCAAUCAUCACCUUUUCACGAGCAACAAAAAACUUAAUCUCCGGGUUCCUUGUAGUAUUGUAUCUCUUAUUGUUCUUUGUGAAGAAAAUCACUGCACUAUUAUCACAGUAAAGCUGAAUGAGUCUUGAGAUUGAGUCAACAAUACGAAGACCAAUGAUAAAAUUCUUGAACCAAACUACCUAAUUCACAAUUUCACAGCAAGACAAGUACUCAACCUCGAAGAAUGCAAUGAUGUCUUGCUUGGCACUCCCUUAAGAAACAGCUCCAUUAGCCAUCAUAAACACAUAGCUUGAAGUUGAUUUCAAAUCAUCUGGGAAAUCAGCGAAGUCUGCGUCAUUUGUAUCCUUCUAAGACCAAGUUUUCAGUAUUCUUAUAAACCAGCAUAUGAGACUUAGUUUUCUACAGGUACCUUAGAACUCUUUUCCUAGCAUUCCAAUGUGCUUCUCCUGCAUCAGAAUGGAAUCUCCCUAAAAACCUAAUGGUAAAAGAUAGGUUUGGCUUAGUACAAACCUGAGCAUUCAAUAAGCUCCUUACUAAUGAGGCGUAAUGACUAUCCUUCAUCAUUUCCUUUUCCAAAUUAUUUCUAAGACAUUGCUCCUUGCUUAGCUUAGCACUCUUCGAUAUAGGCAUUUCAGUUGUGCCGCAUGCUGACAUGUUGAAUCUAUUUAAAACUUUCUCAAUGUAACUUCUUUUUGACAACCCUAACAAUCCCUUCUUUUUUUCUUUUUUUUUUUUUUUUUUUUUCUUCUUUCUCUUUUAAUCUCGAUGCCGAUCACCUAAAUCUUUCAUCUCAAACAUGAAAGACUUGGUAUCAUCUAAGAAAAUCAAACUAUUUGUUGCCAACAAUAUGUCAUAAACAUUGAGUACCAGAAUAAUGAAGUUGCGCCCACUGACUUCCAAGUAAAUGUAGGCAUCAUAAGGGUUUUCCACAAGGCCAUGAUCCUUAACAACACGAUGGAACUUUAAAUACCACUGUCUUGACGCCUGUUUUAAACCAUAGAUUGGUUUUUUUUUUCAAUCUAAUUGCUCUCUCCCUUUCUCCUUCAAACUCUCUGGUUGUCGUGUAUAUAUAUAUAUACUUUCCUCCAUAUCACCAUUUAAAAAAGUCGUUUUUACAUCCAUUUGAUGCAAAACAAGUCAAAAUGUGCCACCAUCGCCAUGAUUACUCUGAAUGCAUCUUUUGUUGGUACUGGACUAGAAGUUUCUUUAUAAUCGGUACCUUCUCUUUGAAUGAAUCCCUUGGCCAUCAAUCUGACCUUAUGUCUCUUUAUAUUUCCCUUUGAGUCUUUCUUGGUCUUAAACACCCGUUUACAACCUUUCGGUUUCAUGCCUUCUCUUGGUUCCACUAGUUCCCAUACUUUUUUUUUUUUCUUCCAUUGAUGACAUUCAGACUCCAUAGCUUCUAAUUGUUUGCUUGCUUUUGGACUCGAGAUGGCUUGUUUGAAAGUCCCAGGAUCUUCGAACUCUGAUAAAUUAAAAUCUGGCCUUUCCAAAUACACAAAAUCUGAUGAGAUUGUUGACUUUCUUACCCUAUUUGAUUUCCUCAGAAGCAGUGAAGCAUCAUCGACUGCCAAAACUGGUGAGUUUAGUCGGUGGUUGCUUCCAUUGGCAGUGCUUCCUCCACGUGUGCUUCCUGAUUUCCUGCAUGUUGUUCAUCAUUCAACAACACCCCAAUUUCAGUGCCAUACUCCAGUCGGUGGUUAUUGCCACUUGGAGCUGCCACCUCCACGUAAUCUCCAUGAUCAUCAUUUUGUUGCUCACCAUGCAACAACACAUUAGUUUGCUGCUCACCAUGCAAUAAUUCAUUAGUUUCAGUGCCAUGCCCAAAAUUAGAAUCAUCAAUACCUCCACUUAAUUUCUUCCAUUUGAUUUGGAAGUUGAACCAAAGCUGCUGCAGUCAGUGAAUGUUUAAAUCAUUCCCCAUUUGACCAUCUUCUUCAAAUAUAAAAUUGUCAGUUCUUGUGCUUACAUGAUCGUCCAUCUCUAACUCCAUAAACAACUGGUAGAUUGGUCCUACAAUCAUACUCCUUACCAUGUCCAUUAGGGUUCUAAUUCUUCUCUAAGCCACUUCAUUUUGCUCCGGUGUACCAGGGAUGGUAUAUUGAGCUACAAUUAUAUGUUCUUGUAAAAAUAAAGCAAAAGGCCAAGGGUAUCUGCCACAAUUUGUCUGUAUCUUCCAUAGUAUAAAUCUUGAAAACUUCUAAGGCUUUUGAUUUUUCAGAAAUCAAAUAAAUGUAACAGUAGUCUUAAAAUCAUCUAUGAAAAUUAUGAAAUAUUUAUUUUCUUCAAUUAUUUGUGUGGAAAAAGGACCACAAAUAUCUUUAUUGAUUAUUUCUAAAAGUUGUUUGCUCUUCCUUGAACCCUCUUUUCUUUUGUUUGUCAUUUUUCUCUUGACACAAUCAAAACUCAAAAUCGUUGACGCCUUUAUUAUUCAAAGAAAAUAAAAAACUAGCAAAACCAACUUUGAAAUGAAACUAAUUUCAUUCUAAUAUAAGGUACAUAAACCAUGUUAUCAAGUUCUAAACAAAAACUAAAAUCUAAUUUUAUCCUAGUAGUUUCUAUUGCCAUGACUUCAACUCUUUCAUUGCCAAAUGAGACUUUUGACUUCAUCCUUAUUUGGUGUUCUCUUUAUUAUGAAGUCCUGCAAUGAAUUUGUUACAUGAAUAGAAGAGCCAAAGGCAAGCCACCAAGCAUUGGUAGGCAUAUCAGUUAAAUUUGAUUCAAAACAAACAAAAAAAAAAAUUGAAAUAUAUAUAUAUAUAUAUAUUUUUUUUUUUUUUACUUUUAUUUGCCUCCUGUUUCGCAAGCCAUGCAUUGUACUUGGGACAAUUUCUCUUCAUAUGGCCUGCCUUUUGGCAAAAUAACAUUUGCAAACUGUAAAAUUGUUAAGUUUGAAAGUCCUAGACAUGGGAGUAUUUCUAGCAUUUUCUUUCCUGGCACCCUUGACCUGUUGCUUUUGGUAUGACCUUGAAUAUAGUUCACAUACUCAUCCUUUUCAAUUCUCUCCUUUUAAUUCUCACUUCCUCCCCAACACAAAAAGAAAUUAACUCAUUCACAUCCCAUUUGGCUUUGGUUUGCAAAGCAUUGUAAGAAACUUUCAAAUGAGUAUAGGAUUCUGGGAGUGAAUUCAUGAUUACAUGCACCAAAAAGGUUUCAGAAAUUGGUACCUCAAGAUUUCUGAGUUUCCAAGCAAUGUUGAUGACUCUGAGAAUAUAUUGGCGCACACUUCCUUCACCAUCAUACCUGAUUAGUGAGUGAAUUCAUGAGGUUGCCAGUUUCAGUUUUCUCGGACUCUUUGUACUUUUCCUCAAUAGAUUUCAUGAACUCUUUUGCAUUCGUUGCCUCUGGGAAUCCUCCACGAACAACAUCAGGCAUUGUUCGUUGAUUAUCAUCAGCGAGAUUCGAUUCGAUUUUUGCCACUUUUCAUACUUUGAUCUUUGGCUGGAAGUGCUUCCAUUGACAGUUAGCGGGGUUCCUCAAUUCUCAAUGCUAAAUCCAUAUCCAUGACACCAUAACGAUUUCCAAGUCUUGUUUCCUUUUCUUAUAGUUGACGCCAUUGAUGAUUCAACAGUGUUGAGGUUAUGGAACUAGGGUUCAUGGCUGCAACUUGAAAAGUAUUACUCUUUAAUCCCCUUUCUUUAUAUCAUAGACUCAAAAACCUUUGGAUUAAUGAGUUAUAUGAAGAUUUUUCUUUAAUCAUGGCACCUUCACAGCCAACAUACGUUUUUCUGUAGUCAUUGUUACAACCCUUUGUGGAUUGCAAGAAGUAACUGUGUUCAUACCUUGGAUUGUAAAGUGCCAUGCCACUUGAGAUCAAAACAUAGACUACUGAACAUCUUUAGAUGAUCAGUGACGAUGCUUCAAUCCCAAUGCCAAUACUAAUUUCGUAUUCUUAAUAAGAAUCAUACAUAUUGCACAGAUAGCUUUAGCUAUCAUAUGCAUACACAUGUUCUCCCUGUAUAAUACGUAAUUAGUCUUUAACCUGAAAAUUUUAAAAAACAAAUCUUUAUGCUUUCCUCUUAGGGUUAAUUGGUAUGUGAAAGCUCUGAUACCAAAUGUAAGAUUAAUAAAUGCGGAAUAAGUAAAUCACAAUACCAAAUAAUUAACCACUAACCUUUGACGCCAUUGCUGCAAUGAACUAAGGAUUCUUCUACUCUCAACACAGACCGAAUGCACUGCUACAAUCAAUGGGGCUUGAUAUCUUUUUGUGCGUAAUCCGUGUGAGAGCAGGGGACCCCUAUUAUAUAUCCUAAAUGGUGGUGUUUGAUAAGGAUACUUCCCAUCAUGUAAUCCUUAUCAAACUAUCAAACCGAUAACCCUUAUCACCACAAAACCAUACUAUUCAUAUCAGUAUAGAUAUAUCUACUCAUAUCAGAAUUACUUUAGCUAUAUAUCAGUCCACAUACAUUCCUUGAUAGCUUACAAGUAUAGUCAAUCCUAAUCUCUUAUGAUCUCAAACCCUUAAGCACGUGUCAAACAAGUGAGCAGCUCUAACAAAGCUUACAGCUUAGGCAUUGCCCCGUUCUCGACUACCAUCUUAUUUAGCUGAUCAAACUGUUCAAUAUGUAAUAUCUUUAGCUUGUUGAACGUUUCAGCUUUGAAUUUCAACUCUGCACCGGUGUGAUACUGAACCAAAUCGAGCUCCAUCAGCUCAGGCAAAGCUUGAAGGGCCUCAAGUGGGUUUUCAUUAGCCUGAAGUUUUGACCACUUUAAACCAAUCUUUACUACGCUGUGAAGUUUGGAAAUCCACAUUGGCAGCCUUUCUAGGCGCCCUUUCAAAUAUAGGCGUUGCAGAAAGUCAGGACGAAAUUCACCAUGAUCCAAAUCCAGAAAGUCCUCCUCGCUCGUUGAUCGUACAUCCAAUGUCGAGAGCUGCUCCAUUUCAUGAAGAGAACAACACAACUUCCUUCCAUCUUCUUUUUGAAGAUCGGUCAACCCCAGUUUCCUAAGACCUUUCAACUCUCGUAAGGCUGUUAUGAUUUUUCUGUUAUUUUUUACACUAAUUAGUGACAACUUUUGUAUGGAGGAUAAAGAUGAAAUGUUGCCUGCAGAGAGCUCUACGCUUCUUGCAGCUUCAAAUGUCACAUAAUUCGUGACAUCAUAGCGAUAGACUAAAAGGUGGUGCAAAUUGCGGAGCUUAUAAAUCUGUUUUGGUAAAUUGGUCACUUUUGUGUGCUUAAGGUCUGAGGUUUCCAAGAAUCCAAGCUUCUUUAUGGACUUUGGCACUUCUUUAAUAUCGGUGUGCCUUAGACUUAUGUACCUCAAGAGGGUGAGACCAAAAACAGAAUCGGGAAAGUUGUCCAAAUUUAUCCCUUGCAAAUCUAAAACCUUUAAAAAUUUAAAGGUUUUAAGUAGUCUUUCAAGCUCGGAAUCAUAACUUCCCUGCCCACUUAAUAGCAUGGUACGAGUACAACUCAAAUCUGUACCACUUGAAAAAUUGUUGCCCUUACGAACAUCAUGAACAGAAAGGUGUCGAAUUUUCUCACCUGGAGCAGUACCUCUGCAGUUUGCUGCCAACGAGACAGUGAUGAAAUUCUCCGCUUUUUCAAUGAUGAACUCGCGAACGAGGUUCAGUACACGGCAGCUUCUGACUCUUCCAUCGACUUCCCUUGAACUCACAUGAACUAAAUUUCUUCCAAUGAGAUCAUUCAGAUAGCCUCCUGCAACCUCCUCCAUUAGUUUUCUUGAUCUGCUCUGCAUCACAAAUCCUUCAGCUACCCACAAGCGAAUUAGCCUUUCACGGCUAAUGGAGUAGUCUUCAGGAAACAUGCCAAAGUACAAGAAACAAGUCUUAAGAUGGCUUGGAAGGUCCUUGUAACUUGGCUCCAAUAUUUGGGUAAUAAUGGGAACAUUUGAUCCAAGGCUCUCAUGUAACUUCUUCCAAUCAAGUGGAGUUGGUCGCUUCGUUGCUAGCAAAGUACCAACAGCAGAAAUUGCAAGGGGCAAGCCUUCACACUUCUUGACGAUUUUCUCUGCGCAGUCCAAAAUCUGGGUUGGACACUUUCCUUCGCUCUUGUGAAAAGCCUUUCGGCAGAAUAGAUUCCAAGCUUGUUCCCAUGACAACACUUUGCUCAUAUUGUGGAUGUACGAAGAGUUUGCAUGAGAAGACGCUACUUCAGAGUAACGAGUAGUUAUGACUAUUUUACUCCCAGUCCCAGGUAAAUCAUUUGGUAAAACAUUUACAAUGCGUUCCAAAUCUUGUUUGCUCCAAACAUUAUCUAACACGACCACAAACUUCUUGCCCUUCAAAGCUCUUACCAAAUCUUCAUGAUUAACUGAUUCCUUCCUUCUGCCUUUUGGAUCAAAUUUGCUUAACAUGUUGAGCAAGAGCUCAUCAAGUUUACGGGCACACAAGUCACGCGGCACAUCAAUCCAAGCAUGGCAUUCAAAAAACCGUUGGACCUUUUUGCUCUUGAAGACAUUCUUCAAAAGAGUGGUUUUGCCUGAGCCACCAGGACCUACAAGCGAGAUAUUCGGAAACCUUGGAUCUCCUUUCAUCAACUGACUGAUGAGUUUUUCUUUAGGCUUCUCAAACCCUACCAUUUCUUCUUCUUCAAGGAAUUGGUUAUGAUGAGUCACCGUGCUAUCUCCAUGUCUUGUGGUGCUGGAACUUGGGCGACUUUCUUGAUCUCGUCCCGGAAAUUGUGGAAUUUUAUCAAGAGUGAAAACAAAAUUUAGCUUCUUGUCAAUAUUUUGAAUUCUGUCCGAGAACUCACGGCUUGCUUUCUGUACCGUGAAAAAUUUCACAGCAUCGUGUAGCUUCUGAGAGACGUCGUUGUGGAAUUGAUGAGGGACAUGAAGCAGAAAUUCGUCAAGAACGUCUUCAAUUUCAUAAGCUAUAUUUCGGAUCUCUUUUACACGAGCUUGAAACUGUUGAGACCCUCCAUCGUAAGCAGACAGUUCUGCUGAUGAGUGGUCACUAAGAUAUGCGCGCAUCCUCUCUAAACAGCUUCUGGCUCUUCCAACAUCAUCACAGGGAUUAUUAUUAUUAAUGCUCGAUCGGCCGAAUUUUUUGUCGAGGAACAUUAUCACUUUGUCCGCCAGAAACAACGCUACUGGUACGGCAAUUUCAGCCAUUUGUAAAAGAAAGGGCAGCUUUCCAAGUUGCAGAAAAUUGCUUCUGUCCGAUCACAAAAAGAAAGAAGAAAGAAAGUUGCUUCUCGGUAACUCAGUUGGUGCAAGUAUUGAACGAGCUGGCUAGAAAAAGACUCAGCUAAUUGCAAUGAGAGGUUGACGAAGGGAUUGAACAAUGAAUGGGUCUGAAAUAGCUAUUUUUCUUGAGGAUAAUGAGAGUGCAUGGUGGUGAGCACCUACUUAUAGAAGCUGAGAAGCUGAGAAGCUGUAUAAUUAAAAAGAAAAGUCUAAGGUCUGGUAUUUCCUCGUAGCUACAAUUUCUUGACAACCGUAUAUUUUAUUUUCUGCCAUUGCUGUUACUAGAAUCACUAAUUUUCUAUAUGAUAGUUGCCUUGGUUUAUCUCGAAUUCAUGCCACCACACAAAAGAAUACUUUGUGCAAGUUGAAUUGAUUAAUUUGCAGAGCAACUCCCAAGAAAGAGAAGAAAGAAUGCUUUUCAAUGAUAUUUUAUUUCAUAUCAAAACAAGGUAUAUAUACAACCCUAUACAGAUAUGGGAAAGAAUAAGGGAAGAAUAAUUACAUCCUAAACUAGGAAACCAAUUACAGUAGAAAUCCCACAAUUAUAGGAAUCCUAAUAUAAGUCAACACUCCCCCUCAAGUUGGUGCAUAGAUGUUGCACAUGCCCAACUUGUCUAGAAAUCUGGAGAACUUGUUACUAGAAACCGCCUUCGUGAGAAUAUCUGCUACUUGGUCGUCCGUUCCUAUGGGAGGAACCUCAAUUACUUUACUAUCUAGCUUCUCUUUAAUAAAGAACCGAUCAACCUCUACAUGCUUGGUCCGAUCAUGUUGCACAGGAUUAUGAGCAAUAUCCCGUGCCGCUUUAUUGUCACAGAAUAACAUCAUAGGUAGAUCUUGUUUAACCCCCACAUCUUGCAACAGAAACUUAAGCCACAAGAGUUCACAAAUACCGAGUGCCAUGCCUCUAAAUUCGGCUUCUGCGCUUGACCUUGAUACGACAUUCUGCUUCUUGCUUCUCCAUGUUACUAGAUUUCCCCCAACAAAGGUGAAAUACCCAGAUGUCGAGCGUCUAUCAUCCGUCGAUCCUGCCCAAUCAGCAUCCGUAUAGCACUCAAUUCUGAAAUGCUCAUUUUUCCGAAAUAAAAUUCCUUUACCAGGGCUUCCCUUUAAGUAACUCAAUAUUCUCAUAACUGCACUCAUAUGUUGUUCUCCUGGAUUGUGCAUAUAUUGACUAAUCACACUUAAGGCAUGAGCAAGAUCAGGCCUAGUGUGAGCCAAGUACAUUAAUCUUCCUAUUAACCUUUGAUACCUCCCUUUAUCAACCGGUACUUGGUUCUGAUCUAUACCCAACUUCAUUCCUUCGGCCAAAGGAGUAGACACCGGCUUACAUGCUGUCAUACCGGUUUCUUCCAACAGGUCAAGAACAUACUUCCUUUGUGAUAGAAAUAUCCCGGACUUGCAUCUUGAUACUUCAAUCCCAAGAAAAUAUUUCAAAGGACCAAGAUCUUUCAUUUUCAAACUCUGUGGACAAAUAACUUUUCAAGGCUGCUUGCUCAACAGGAUCAUCACCAGUAACCACCAUAUCAUCCACAUACACGAUUAGAGCCGUAACCUUUCCGUUCUGGUGUUUCAGAAACAACGUGUGAUCCCAAUUACUCUGUAUAUACCCAAAUGCCCUCAUGGACUUGGUAAAUCUACCAAACCAGGCUCGAGGAGACUGCUUUAAUCCAUACAGUGAUUUCUUGAGCCUACAUACCUUUUGUUUCCGUCUGUCCGAAUCACUGCACCCUGGUGGAAGAUCCAUGUAAAUCUCCUCAGUCAGAUCUCCAUGGAGGAAAGCAUUUUUUACGUCGAACUGUUGCAAAGGCCAAUCCAGAUUUGCUGCUAAGGACAGUAGAACACGAACUGUAUUGAUCUUUGCCACUGGUGCGAAUGUAUCAGUGUAAUCAAUGCCAUAUUUCUGUGUAUACCCCUUUGCCACCAAUCUUGCUUUAAAGCGAUCUACCGUUCCGUCGGCUUUAUAUUUUACUGUAUAAACCCAUUUGCAUCCCACUGUUUUCUUUCCGGCUGGCAAGUCUAUUAUGUCCCAGGUAGCAUUCUUCUUCAACGAUCUCAAUUCUUCGUUCAUUGCAUCUUUCCAGCGGGAAUCUGCUAAAGCCUCUUGCACACUGUUAGGAAUAGAUACAGUAGAUAAUUGAUACACAAAUGACUUAUUUGAUUCUGACAGGUGACAGGUAGACACAUAAUGGUUUAAUGGGUAUCUCACUCUGGAAUCAGAGUUUGGCUCACUCAUGGAAUACUUGUGUUUACACUCAGGAUCUGCCUCAUAAGUGGGUUUGGGAAUACCUCUAUUAAUACGCUCUGGAAGGCGACGAAGUGAAGGUGCAUCCGGUGUAGAAGACGAUUGGUUAUGAGAAGUAGUAUCUCGUGACACAUGCUGUAAUUGCUGCUCUGUUUCACUGCAAUUGGACGGCUGCAUCUCAUCUUCCAACUCAAUACCCGUGAGACCCGUGGGCUGCUCCUCUUCCUGACGUGUUGGCUGCUCCUCAGUAGGCUGCUCGGUAGGACUAAACCCAGAAAACACGGGCUGCUGCCCUUCCUCAGGUGUCGUGGGCUGCUGCCCUUCCCCAGAAGCCGUGUACUCCAAGCUCAACACGUCCCUAUCAUCGCGAGUCAGAACUUCAUCAUUGCAGUACUCCCCCUGAAGUGAGGACGGGGAGGAACCAAAGAACAUUUCAUUCUCGUGAAAACUCACAUCCUGAGUAAUAAACAUGUUUUUACUCGAAGGAUGAUAACAACGAUACCCUUUCUGGGUAGUAGCAUACCCCAAAAAAACACAACGAAGAGCUCUAGGUUCAAGUUUAGUCUUCCGUUGAGGUGGAUGGAGGUGAACAAACGCAACACAUCCGAUGACCCGUGGGGGAAGAUUGGGAGUCGGGGGGCUGCUAGUCUGAGAUGUGAGAGCCUGAAAUGGUGUAUGGAAGUCGAGAGUCCGAGAUGGAAGGCGAUUAAUAAGAUAGGUUGCAGACGUAAGUGCCUCUCCCCAAUAAUGGAGCGGCAAAUGUGCCGCAAGUAGGGAAGCACGAACCAUUUCUAACAAGUGUCGAUUUUUCCUUUCUGCAACCCCAUUCUGUUGAGGAGUAUACGGACACGUGGUCUGAUGAACAAUACCGUGCAACUCUAAGAAUGAACGAAGUUCCAUAUUAAUAUAUUCUCCCCCAUUGUCACUGCGAAGAACCUGGAUAUUCCUGUUGUAUUGUACAACAAUCAUUUUAUGAAACCGUUGGAAGGCCGAACUAACUUCACUCUUUGACUUUAACAAAAUAACCCAAGUCAUGCGGGUACAAUCAUCAAUAAAAGUAACAAACCAAUGAGCACCACCAAGAGUGGCUACUUUUGACGGUCCCCAUACAUCAGAAUGCACAAUCAUAAAAGGAACAGUACUUUUAUUUAAACUGGGAGGAAAAGAGGUUCGAUGGCUCUUAGCCAUUUCACAAACAUCACACUUAAACUGAGAAACAUCAGUCUUGACAAACAAACUAGGAAAUAACUUAUGCAGAUAACCAAAGGAAGCAUGCCCAAGUCGCCGGUGCCACAUCCAGAUGUCUGACACUUUAUUAGUAACCCCUUGAGAAUCAUCAACGGAAAGAGCUUGAGUCAGCAAGCUAGAACUACUGGUGGUCAACUCCAAGUAAUAAAGUUUCCCUCUUCUAAUACCAUAACCAAUCGUCUUCCGCGUCCGGAUGUCCUUAAAAAACACAAAAAUAUGGCCAAAAAAAAACCAAACAAUGUAAGGCAAGGGUUAUUUUUGAGCAACGGACAACAAAAUUAUAAUUUAGAGAGGGAACCACAAGAACAGUGUCAAGUUUCAUGGUAUCAGAAAGGGAAACAACGCCUUCCCCAAUAACAGGGACGGCAUUACCAUUAGCAACAUUGACCUCGGUUUGUGUGGAUGUUUUUUAGUGAUGGAACCUGUCUAGAAUCACAAGUCAUAUGUUCAGUAGCUCCGGAAUCAAUUAUCCAUGUAUUAUUCAUAACAGAAGUAGAAGUACUGAGUGCCUUACCAUCACUUCCUGCCGCAGCUAUCAUGGCAGAUGCCUUGUCCGCUAUCUGAUCCGAAUCAUUCUUGGUUUCGACAAUGGAGGCUCGAGAUUUGUUGCACCGAGGAUCACGGGUCUUAUCCCAAUUCUCGGGAUAUCCAAUCAGCUCAAAACAACGACUCUUGGAGUGUCCCGUCAGACCACAGUGUGGGCACUUACCUUGUGGACGAUCCCGGCUUGUCUGGUUUGGCCGAGUUGAUCCAGGCCGGUUUUGUACCCCUUCUCGAUUCGACCCACUAGAUGAUCCACGGGCCCUUGCUGCCAUGGCAGCAGACUCCCCCUUGUCAACCUCUGUCUUCAUUGCUUCCUUUCGAUCGGCUUCUCGACGAACAUAGGCAUAAGAAGCCUGCAGGCCAAGUGGGGGAUCCUUCCGCAGCACUUCUCCACGCACCUGAUCAAACCCAUCAUCAAGACCACCAAGAAACACAUAGACCCGUUGUCUCUCAGUGGAUUUCUGAAACACUUUGAUGUCAUUCUCACACUCCCCAUGGAUACUUUAUUAAAGUGAUCCAAUUCUUGGAAGAUCUCAGUGAGCUCCCCAAAAAUAGGUAGCUAAGGGUCGGCCAUUCUGACGCAGACGGGAUGCCUUCUGAUUCAACGAAUAAAUUCUAGCCUCGUCAUUCUCAUCAAAGUAGGCAGCCUUCAAGGAGUCCCAAAUCUCCUUCGAUGUAGACAACCGAAUGUACCGUUUCAUAAUCUCGGGCUUCAUGGAAGACAAAAGCAACUCUUAAUUUUUUGAUCUUCAGAAAACCAAUCAUCAUAUUUAGGAUCAUCUUCGCUAGGUGCCUUGAUAGACCCACGAAGAUAUCCCAUCUUCUUCCUUCCAGCAAUAUGAAUUUGAAUGAGAGGAGCCCAUAAAUCAUAGUUCUUUUCAUCCAAAACCAUACCAAUAUUAAAGCUUGAAUUCUCUGACUGCACCAUAAUUGGAGCAGCCGCUGAAACAAUCUGUGAACCAGCCCCCUUUUCUUCAGCCAUCUCUCUGUUGCUUCGGUGUUGACUGACACAAACUAGGCAGAGGAAAAAAAAAACAGCAGCGGUGAUGGGACCUAGAACACGUUGGACAAAUCAACAGGGCAGCAACACCCUAUCUGGUGCUCGCUGCAAUCGGUCAGAGCAGCAACACCUUCUCUGGUGCUCGCUGCAAUCAGUCAGGGAACGGGCAGCAACAACCCUAAGGUUGCUCGCUACAAUGGAUCAGGUACACGGCAGGAAAAAAUUAGGGUUCAGUUUUUUUUUUUCUAACCCGACUCUGGUGCCAAGAAGAAAGAAUGCUUUUCAAUGAUAUUUUAUUUCAUAUCAAAACAAGGUAUAUAUACAACCCUAUACAGAUAUGGGAAAGAAUAAGGGAAGAAUAAUUACAUCCUAAACUAGGAAACCAAUUACAGUAGGAAUCCCACAAUUAUAGGAAUCCUAAUAUAAGUCAACAGAAAGGACCACCACACCAGUACACCAUCAAUUUCCCAGGAAAACGAAUAAAUAAUUCCAGUUGCCAUAAACUAUAAGAUAUGACCGUGUCCUCCUCCUCUGGAAGGGCAAAGUCUUCUCUGGAAGGGAAGACACUUGCAAUCAGAUUAAUUCAUUAGAAAUUCAAAUGGACAAAUUUGCAAACAGUUUCACACUUGACUAAUAGAUCGGACAAAUUUGCCAAAACCCGUAGAAAUUCAAAAAUCAGGAACCACAAACAUAUACAUGUAAUCAAAGGCUAGUGAAAAAUAAAUACGUAUUUAAUUUUAUUAAUACAGAAUUGUUAAUAUAUUAAAUUCAAAAUUUUAAAUAAAAUUUUAUGAAAUAUAGAAAAACCUUGCGACAAAAAAAAAAUCAGAAAACCCUUGAAGGUGUUAUAGAUACAUAGACCACGUUAUUUUAUGAUAGCUAAUUGAUCAUUCGUAUAUUUCACUCUAUUUACAAAAGCGGCCACCGACAUUGCUGCUUGAACUCCUCGAUUCGUUCUUGGGCAUACAUAAUGCCAUACAUAAUGCCUCAGUUUAUGAGUCUAAAUGAAAUCUAAAAAUAGACAAUAAGGUGUAACUCAGCAGAGUCGAAGACAACAAAAAAUAAAUAUCAUUAAUUUAGCAUAAACUGAAUUGCAAGUUCAAAUGCAAGAAUGCAAAUGAAGACAAUACACUCCAUUCUGUUCAGCAAGGGGAUGAAGAGGCGAUGAAAAUAGUAUGAUUUAGUGAUCCGACCUUUAACUUGAUUCGAAGGAAGGGCAUUGAAUGUUGAAUCAACAAAAUUUUGCACAUGAAUUUUGAAGGAAAAAAAGAUAAGCUAUACGUCAUUAAAUUAGCACAAAAUCUAUUGACCAAAAAAAAAAAAAAUUAGCACAAAAUCUGUUUGUCCUUCGAAAAGGAGCUAAACACAUCUAAAACUCAAAGCUGAGAGAAGAACAAACAAUAUAUCUCAUAAAAUCCACAAAAUCCUAUACAUGGAAAUGUAAAUACCUACCACAUUGUUUUGAUUCUUUGGCAGAAUCACUAAUAGCAUCCAGCCUUUUCUUGCUUGGAGAUGCAUAACUCAGCUGCUCAUUAUGUGGGGUGGCUGGAAAACCAGUAGUCUCACCAUUACCGACAAUAUUAAUGCUCGAAUCCUCUUCAUUGGAAAACAACGCAAGAAUUCACCAAACCAAAAAACUAAAAAUUGAUCGCAGCAAAAAGUGCAGGAUUUUAUCAAGCCCAUGCAUAAAAAUAUACACAAUAUUUCCAACCAUAUCAUUCCCACUAAUACGAUAAUAUCAAUAGACUUAGCCAAGUUGAACGCUUAUUCGUCUAAUCAGUUUGUUAGAAUUAAAAAAACAUCUAGAACUUUGCUUUAUCCGAGAUCUGUGUAUAUGCAUAGAUAGACGUGUACACACACAAAAAUUAAAAGAAUAAAGGGAGACAGAAAACUGAGAACCGUAUGUACACUAAGAUGCAUCUCAAGAAUGAUUGAUGAAGGAGAUGCUCUUUUUUCUUUUCUUUAGACAAAGUAACUAAUGUGAUUAGAAAACUAAUUUAAAUCGUUGAAUUGCUCUCAUCAUACUUGUAUCUGUUUUAGCCUUAAUUCACAUGAUUGCGGACAUGCAAACAUCGUGGGAAUUUAAAAAACCAUAAUCAAUGCAGUGCAUACUCAGAAAUAUGGAAAGUUCCAAAGAACAUUAUAUUUUAGAAACUUGUGUUCGAGUUUCGAAUUUCAGAGUUUAUAUAACAAAGUCAACCUUGAAUACAAUAAUUUAAAAGAGAAAAGAAAAUGUAUCUAAAGAAAAGUAAUCGAUGAAAAAAUGGAGAAAUAUGCAUGACCCUUGGAAGUAAGAAUGCGGCUAUAUCUGGAAGCCUUUUUGAUGAAUUCCUCAACAAUCUAACGCAACUCAAACACUGAAGCUUAAAAGAAUGGGAAACCAUUCACCAAGUGGACUAUGUUUUACACACAAUAAACCAUUGCAACAUGCUGUCACUCUAUAAUUCUCAUGCAAAAUCAUAUGACACGCAGACAUGACAUUCUACAUACUCAUGCUAUAUACUUAUAUGAAGAAGAGUCAAUAUGGUGUGUAAAAACAAAUUCUUAAUAAAAGAAAUAGCCAAUUCUAAUUGAUAGAAACCUUAUAGUUCACAUUCAUGGAUAAAUUGUUAAUAAAAAAAAGCCAGCCAUGCAACUGUUGAUAAAAAAGCCUUCAAUCUCGACAUAAGAUUUAAUAUGUACAUACAAAAGAUACUUCGCAUAAAGCAAACACAUAUCCACUCUUUAUCUAACUGAAGAAACUGAAACAAGGUAAAGCAAAUUAUAUACCUCAAAAUGUCAAGUAACCAAUGUGUUAGACAAAUACAAUCAAAUAAGCUGCCAAAAGAACAUUAAUAAAUGAAAAUUACAAAACAAAGAAAUAAUGAGAAACCAAAAUAUGCAUCUCAAAAUCUAAUCGCUUUAUAGCCUGCUGGCCAUUUUUAGUUCUUGAAUUUAGACAGUUAAACCAUGACUCAGCACAUGAAUGAAGCGAGAGCUUAAAAGAUAAGUGGGAUAAGCUAAAAGUCAUCCUCGAGUCAUGCAUUAACUUUCAAACUGUUCCAAAAUAGCUAACAUCUUUAAAAAAAUGAAUAACUAAAAUGCUUAAGUUAGCCAUAGGAAGCCUACAGAACAAAGUUAAACAUGACGAAUGAAUAAAAUGACAGACAGAUUUAAACAGCAUACCAAAAAAGGAGUUGCAACGCUGAAUUCUUCUCGACUUACCUAUUUAGUGAGUUAUUGGACCUAUUUAGAGACUGGACUGAAAUGAAGCCAACUCUGCAACAGAGAAACAAAUGAAAAGGUCAAAAUCCAGAAAUCCAAGUUUAACUCAAUCAAAUAUCAUAACCAAUGAAAUUUGCAAGCUGCAAAUAUUCAGCAAUGUAGACAAAGAAAUUUGUUUCUCAAAGACUUAAUUGGUCCUCUACUUGAUUAAUUGUCGUUUGGGAAAGGAAAUUUGAGACAACACCUCAUCAAAGAGAACCAUAUAUGCAUUUAAGUCAUGGUACAAUGGGCGGCCUUCGCUGCUGCAGUGAUCUAAUGCUUUGGCAAUGUUCAGAGCAACUGUUAGUCGUAUAGCCCACUCAAUGGUCUGAUUCUCCCCUGCCAAGGAAGUGUGAGGUGAAUUUAUACCUGCAGCGCUUUGAAAAGCUACAGGCAAUAAAUUUCAGAGGUCACUUGUCAAGAAUAUGAGAACGGGAAGAGCAAAAUAGCAGUCACAAUUUGAAAUGAAAAUAGCACACGUGUAGAUAACAAAUCGGCUUUGUGAAAGUGGUUUGAGAUCAGAAUAUUAUGCUCAAGUAGACCAAAUGCAUUCUUCAAAACGAUGAAUACAACAACAACAACAACAACAACAAAGCCUUUUCCCACUAAGUGGGGUCGGCUAUAUGAAUCCUAGAACGCCAUUGCGCUCGGUUUUGUGUCAUGUCCUCCGUUAGAUCCAAGUACUCUAAGUCUUUUCUUAGAGUCUCUUCCAAAGUUUUCCUAGGUCUUCCUCUACCCCUUCGGCCCUGAACCUCUGUCCCGUAGUCACAUCUUCGAACCGGAGCGUCAGUAGGCCUUCUUUGCACAUGUCCAAAUCACCGGAGCCGAUUUUCUCUCAUCUUUCCUACAAUUUCGGCUACUCCUACUUUACCUCGGAUAUCCUCAUUCCCAAUCUUAUCCUUUCUCGUGUGCCCACACAUCCCACGAAGCAUCCUCAUCUCCGCUACACCCAUUUUGUGUACGUGUUGAUGCUUCACCGCCCAACAUUCUGUGCCAUACAACAUCGCUGGCCUUAUUGCCGUCCUAUAAAAUUUUCCCUUGAGCUUCAGUGGCCUACGACGGUCACACAACACGCCGGAUGCACUUUUACACUUCAUCCAUCCAGCUCGUAUUCUAUGGUUGAGAUCUCCAUCUAAUUCUCCGUUCUCUUGCAAGAUAGAUCCUAGGUAGCGAAAACGGUCGCUUUUUGUGAUCUUCGCUAGAUUGCUCCGGUCAUUAGUGUGGAUAAGUAUAUAAAUGGAUAGAGAUAGGAAAGCAAACACAAGAUGUACGUGGUUCACCCAGAUUGGCUACGUCCACGGAAUAGAAGAGUUCUCAUUAAUUGUGAAGGGUUUACACAAGUACAUAGGUUCAAGCUCUCCUUUAGUGAGUACAAGUGAAUGAUUUAGUACAAAUGACAUUAGGAAAUAUUGUGGGAGAAUGAUCUCGUAAUCACGAAACUUCUAAGUAUCGGAGUGUGGUGUCGUCUUGACUUGCCUUAUCUGUCUCAUAGGUAGAUGUGGCAUCUUCUCUGGAAGUACUCUUCCUCCAUCCAGGGGUGGUAUCUUUAACUGGUGGAGAUGCACAAGGUAAUGUAUCAAUUUCACUUGAAGCUUACUUGUAGUUUCAGGCUUGGUCAAGCGCGAUACAAACCAUGUAGUAGGAGUCCCCCAAGUCGCCGAGCUAGGGGGUCUGCUGAAAGAGGUGACAGACAAGGUAAGCAAUCAGAGCUCCGACUGAUUGUUCACCUUCUCCCCAUCUUGCAGCAGCAUGAAGGAUAAAGAGAAGAAAAAUGAGAAGAGAUGAUAUGAGAUACUUUUGCUUUUGAAGAAGUAACUUUCCACAGGCUUAUUCUUGAACUGAGCUGGAGGGUUUUCUGGUUUCCUCCAGAGUAUAAGGCCGACUGAAGAAUUUGAGGGUCAAAACAAGUCCAUCAAAUCUAGAGUACGUUCCACCCUGCUGAUAUGGGAUACUUUUGCUUUUGACAGAGUAAUGGAUGUAUCGGCACGUGUGCUGUUACGCUUGUCUCCACAUGCUUCCUUGUAUCCUUCGCACUUGCCCUAUCUGUUCCUCAAGCAGAUGCGGAAUCUUCCCUGGAAACAUAAGAUGUUGAAGAUGAGUACUCGAGAGCAAUGCCAGGUAAGUAAUCAGGUAAGGGGUUCCAGGCAGUCAGUUCCUGGCUGGAAGCUUGAUUCCAAGUGCUGACUGAUUGCUCUCUUUCUCCUUGUCUUGCAGGUAAAAACAAGGCCAAAGGAAAAGACAGGGAAAAAGCAUGAUAUGGGAUACUCUUGCUUUUAACCCUGAUGAUAUGAGAUAUUCUUGCUCUAGUAUAGCUUGUUUGCAGAGGUAUUAUCGGGGGGAAAGAAAGCUGAAUAUUUCGAAAGGCUUCGUUGGGAGUGCCCUCUCAGAUAUGAUGAAGGGUUGAGCAUUUUUGCAGGUCUGCCUGUCCGUUGGGGAUGGAGGUCGACAUAUAUAGGAGUCUCCCUAACAACAAGUAGUAAUGCUAUUCCUUUACCCUGCUUGGUCAUAGCACGGUAGUGGGAGCUGCCAGUUUCACAUGUUUUAACUCUGUCAGAGCACUUUGAAAAAGUGGUCUGUGGUAUCUGGCUCUCGAGAUUCGGAGAACGAUGCCUCUUCGAUUUUUGAGAAAGCAAUCAUGCUGGGGGUCUGGCUCUCGAGAUUCGGAGAGCAGUGUCUCUUCGAUUUUUGAGAAAGUAAUCAUGUUGGGAGUCUGGCUCUCGAGAUUCGGAGGGCGGUGCCUCUUCGAUUUUGGAGCAAGCAAUCUUGUUGGGAGUGUUGUCUCGAAUGUGAGUAAAGGUUGGGCAUGUUUGCUAGUCUACCUUGCCACGAAGCACAAAGGUUGACACACAGGGACUUUCCAAUUAUCCAGCAAUGGUACUGUUCCUUUACCCUCUCUUCGAUUUUGAGAAAGUAGUCAUGUUGGGAGUCUGGCUCUCGAGAUUCGGAGGACGGUGCCUCUUCGAUUUUGGAGCAAGCAAUCUUGUUGGGAGUGUUUUCUCGAAUGUGAGUAAAGGUUGGGCAUGUUUGCUAGUCUACCUUGCCACGAAGCACAGAGGUUGACACACAGGGACUUUCCAAUUAUCCAGCAGUGGUACUGUUCCUUUACCCUUGUGGGUAAUAAUAUGGUAGCUAGACCUUCAAAAUUUAUGUGUCUAAACUUUGUUAGUGCUGUUUCUUUGCUAUUCUUUUACCUUUCUUGGUCAGAGCGAUGUAGUGGGAGCUGCAAGCUUCACGUGCUCAACUUUGGCAGAGAACUUUGGCAAAGUUAUCUGUGGUACCCAUGAGCUAUUGUUGCGUGUGGGAAGUGGGUGAUUGAACAGUAAGAUUCAUGUGCUUUCUACUUCACCAGAAGUCUUCGACAGAAUGCCCAUAAUUUCUGCAAAGCUGAGUGUGCGUGUGACAGGUGCUGACAAGGCUAGAAAAGUAGGUGCCUCUUCGAUUUCUGAGAUCGGCCCUCGUGGUCUCUGAGCAGCCCAGCUUUUGAGAAAGCGAGCGCCUCUUCGAUUGAUUCGGAGAACGAUGCCUCAUCGAUUUUUGAGAAAGCAAUCAUGCUGGGGGUCUGGCUCUCGAGAUUCGGGGAGCGGUGUCUCUUCGAUUUUUGAGAAAGUAAUCAUGUUGGGAGUCUGGCUCUCGAGAUUCGGAGGUCGGUGCCUCUUCGAUUUUGGAGCAAGCAAUCUUGUUGGGAGUGUUUUCUCGAAAUGUGAGUAAAGGUUGGGCAUGUUUGCUAGUCUACCUUGCCACGAAGCACAGAGGUUGACACACAGGGACUUUCCAAUUAUCCAGCAAUGGUACUGUUCCUUUACCCUCUCUUCGAUUUUUUGAGAAAGUAGUCAUGUUGGGAGUCUGGCUCUCGAGAUUCAGAGGACGGUGCCUCUUCGAUUUUGGAGCAAGCAAUCUUAUUGGGAGUGUUUUCUCGAAUGUGAGUAAAGGUUGGGCAUGUUUGGGCAUGUUUGCUAGUCUACCUUGCCACGAAGCACAGAGGUUGACACACAGGGACUUUCCAAUUAUCCAGCAGUGGUACUGUUCCUUUACCCUUGUGGGUAAUAAUAUGGUAGCUAGACCUUCAAAAUUUAUGGGUCUAAACUUUGUUAGUGCUGUUUCUUUGCUAUUCUUUUACCCUUCUUGGUCAGAGCGAUGUAGUGGGAGCUGCAAGCUUCACGUGCUCAACUUUGGCAGAGAACUUUGGCAAAGUUAUCUGUGGUACCCAUGAGCUAUUGUUGCGUGUGGGAAGUGGGUGAUUGAACAGUAAGAUUCAUAUGUUUUCUACUUCACCAGAAGUCUUUCGACAGAAUGCCCAUAAUUUCCGCAAAGCUAAGUGUGCGUGUGACAGGUGCUGACAAGGCUGGAAAAGUAGGUGCCUCUUCGAUUUCUGAGAUCGGCCCUCGUGGUCUCUGGGGAGCCCAGCUUUUGAGAAAGCGAGCGCCUCUUCGAUUUCUGAGAUCGGCCUUCGUGGUCUUUGAGCAGCCCAACUUUUGAGAAAGCAAACGCCUCUUCGAUUUCUGAGAUCAACCCUCGUGAUCUCUAAGCAGCCCAGCUUUUGAGAAAGCAAACGCCUCUUCGAUUUCUGAGCAGGCGCCUCUUCGAUUUCUGAAGCUCCGUCGAGUGCAGAUUUUAUAGGGGCUGGCAUUAAGUUCCAAAGCACACUUGAAUCUCCACCAGUAGAAGCUUCAUUCUUGCACUUCUAAGAUCUUGAUUUGUCCGACCUCUUCUCUCUUCAACACCUUUGAAAAUGUCUGGCCCCUCCGACCGUCGUUUUGACUUGAACCUUGUUGAAGAGGCAGCCCCGCCUUCUCCAGACAACAUAUGGCGCCCAUCCUUCGUCUCCCCUACUGGUCCUCUUACCGUUGGGGAUUCCGUGAUGAAGAAUGAUAUGACCGCUGCGGUGGUGGCCAGGAACCUUCUCACUCCCAAAGAUAACAGACUACUUUCCAAACGGUCUGAUGAGUUAGCUGUUAAGGAUUCGCUGGCUCUCAGUGUUCAGUGUGCAGGUUCUGUGUCUAAUAUGGCCCAACGCCUAUUUGCUCGAACCCGCCAAGUUGAAUCAUUGGCGGCUGAAGUGAUGAGUCUCAAACAGGAGAUUAGAGGGCUCAAGCAUGAGAAUAAACAGUUGCACCGGCUCGCACAUGACUAUGCUACAAACAUGAAGAGGAAGCUUGACCAGAUGAAGGAAACUGAUGGUCAGGUUUUACUUGAUCAUCAGAGAUUUGUGGGUUUGUUCCAAAGGCAUUUAUUGCCUUCGUCUUCUGGGGCUGUACCGCGUAAUGAAGCUCCAAAUGAUCAACCUCUGAUGCCUCCUCCUUCUAGGGUUCUGUCCAGUACUGAGGCUCCAAAUGAUCCCCCUCCGGUGCCUUCUCUUUCUGGGGCUCUACCGACUGCUGAGACUUCUCCUAAGCAACCUUUGUGAAGGCUCCCUCUUGUGUGUUUAUUUUGACUCAUGUAUAUGUACAUAUUUGUAGCUUAUCGGGGAUAUCAAUAAAUAAGCUUUCCUUCAUUUCAACGUAUUGUGUUAAAUACACCAAAGCCUUCUUCGCUAAGUUCUUUGAAUUUUCUUUUGUUGAAGCUUGUAUGUUGAAGCUUUCUGAGUGGAGCAUGUAGGUUGGGGUAGUGUUCCCUUAAUUUCCCGAGUGAGGAAAACUUCUCGGUUGGAGACUUGGAAAAUCCAAGUCACUGAGUGGGAUCGGCUAUAUGAAUCUUAGAACGCCAUUGUGCUCGAUCCUGUGUCAUGUCCUUCGUUAGAUCCAAGUACUCUAAGUCUUUUCUUAGAGUCUCUUCCAAAGUUUUCCUAGGUCUUCCUCUACCCCUUCGGCCCUGAACCUCUGUCCCAUAGUCGCAUCUUCUAAUCGGAGCGUCAGUAGGCCUUCUUUGCACAUGUCCAAACCACCGUAACCGAUUUUCUCUCAUCUUUCCUUCAAUUUCGGCUACUCCUACUUUACCCCGGAUAUCCUUAUUCCUAAUCUUAUCCUUUCUCGUGUGCCCACACAUCCAACGAAGCAUCCUCAUCUCCGCUACACUCAUUUUGUGUACGUGUUGAUGCUUCACCGCCCAACAUUCUGUGCCAUACAGCAUCGCCGGCCUUAUUGUCAUCCUAUAAAAUUUUCCCUUGAGCUUCAGUGGCAUACGGCGGUCACACAACACGCCGGAUGCACUCUUCCACUUCAUCCAUCCAGCUUGUAUUCUAUGGUUGAGAUCUCCAUCUAAUUCUCCGUUCUUUUGCUUUUUAAAAAGAUGGAGGUAGGGGUUAAAGAGGGGAGACCAACGGGGUAAGAGCCCCCCGUUGCUCUGAUUAAGUCAACGGGGUUUUCCCUCUGCCAGCUUUUUUUUUUCUUUUUAAGCGGGGUGAAUGACUAAAAAAAUUAAUAUCUUAUGUAAAAGAAGAGAAAAUUAUAUCUUUGCAGGACUGUGGCCUUAUCCAAAAGUCUAGCCAAAACAACAUCCUAAAAGUAGUAGAAGUAAGAAAUGAAACUGAAUAAGUAGGAAAAACAAAAAGGUUAAACAGAAAACAGGCAACCUUGAAAUAUUCAACUUUAUAUGUCUGGUGUAUCUUUGACAACACCAUAGCAUCUUUAAUCGGUAUGGCCUGUGCAAAAUGAAAUUGUCAAUCCUGAUUCACAGAGAAGAAAAAACCUACUCCCAUAUAAAUUAACAUGCUAUCCAACAUUCCUAGUCAUUAGCCCCAAUCCCAAUCAAAAAUCCUGCCAGCACAAAAAUUAUUAGUCCUAACAAUGUAUAAAUCUAUAUGUACACAUAUAUUCACACACACAUAUAUUUAUAUCCACCGACAACAUUGAGUUCAAUCCAAAUCUAUAGUCCUAACAAUGUACUAAACACAUAAGAAACAUAAGUCCAAUGUACCUCCAACAAGGACUUGAACCAUCUUUCGAGAGUCACCAUAGCUUUCCUUUGCCCUUUUUCUCUUUCUAAUCUCAGCAGAUUUUAUCUGGAAACAUAUAAAAACUACAAAAUCACAACUCUCUUAUACUGGAUCAAUGUUUUGCUCUGAAAUCUCUAUUUUAGACUUAGUAUCGAGAAACGAAAAAGUCUUAAAUGCAAAAGAUAACUCAUUCAUCACAAAGCAACAAUACAUUUGCAGUAACUGUUUAAAUCAGAACAUAUGAUUAUCAUGAACUGCAGCAUUAGCAUUCUAAUUAGAAACUUGUUGCCAUAAAAUUGAACAUUUCGCUACCGUUUUUUAUCGCAUUAAACAAUCCGAUUAUCGAUAAUUACCUAAGCAGAAGCUUGAAUUUCUCUGGCAGUCAUAUCCAAAGCAAGUGCAUAACCUUACACCAUCCGAUUUUCGCUAAUUAGAUUUAAACUUAAAACCAAAUCAUUAACAGCAUCAUUAUAUUAAAACUAAAUCAUUAGCAGCAGCAUUACUAACUGAUUAAUUAAACUAAAUCAUUAACAGCAACACUAUUAACUGAUUAAUUAACUGACCUUCAAAAAAUAAAUAAAAAGUGAUUAAUUAACAAAUAACAGUAACGAAAAUUACAAAUUUACCCGCAACGUAAUCCAUGGCGGUGGAUUGCGGAACAUCGCUAGCUUUCUGAGAGAUGAUCACCGCCACCUCAUGGUCCAACGAUAACAGAGGGUGAGGGACUUCGAUCGUGCCGCCGUUCAUCAAGUAAGACAACGUCGGUUUGAGGAAAAGCACGGGCUCCCUAAUAAAUCAGAAUUAAGAGAGGAGUGAGGAAGAGGAGAGAGAAAGAGGUGGGUUCUCCCAUUUCACAUAGUUUACUUUGUAUACGUAUAAAGACAAUUGGUUUCUUCACAUAAUCAACUCAAAUGUCCCUGCCAAAAUACAUUCUCCAACUGAAAUAGGUUUAUGAGACCAUAAGUAUCCCCUCUUUUUAAACCAUAUCUAACUAAUUUCAUGUCAUUUCGGAAAUGGCCUAUUUACCCUUUCCUGUCAGAUACAGAUUAGAUUUUGUAGUAAAUUCAUGAUGCAACUGUACCAAUUGUGAUAAUUUCAGAGUUUCCUGUGCACGAUAUCAACAACUUGUAUUGCCUAACAAUCUUUACCCUUCUUUCCAUUAAAAACUCUAACCACCAGGAAUCUCGCUUCAAAUCAUGACAAAAUGAUUCAUGAGCUUAAUUGAAAUAAAUUAACACAUUGACUGACUAAAUGAACCGAGAAUAAAGACAUCUAAAAUCUUAUUAAUUAAGUACAAUUACCAGAAGAAGCUGAAUAAAAUGUCAAAAGUGAUACAUUGAGAUAAGGUUGGUGGCAUCAAAAUCACUAAGAAAAUAUGCACAAACCCAAUAUGCAUCAAAAUCACGAAUACUUGAUUUCACUUGCUUGUUAAAAUAUAAAAAAUUCAAAUAAUAUUGUUUCCAAAAACUUGUUUAAAGAAAACAAAAAAUAGUCACAUCUAAAGGCUCUAACCGUAUGGUGCGGGUACUUCCUCUAAAACCCAUGGAUUAGUCUUAAAAUCAAAACUUUUUACUCUUGAUGUAUUCCUAACUACUAAGAUAGCCUACGGACCUCACCAAAGGUGAUAAGGCGGCACAUGCAGUUAUAUCUUAUUCUUUCAAAAAAAAAAAAUGGCACUUAUAGUUUGGGAUUGCAUAGGUCCUGAGUUCUUAUUUAAUAUUUUUGUGGAGGAUAUAAACAUUUUAAUUAAAUUAUAAUAAAUUUUAUCUUUUGGAAAAAAAAAACGAAAAAUACUAUUGAUCUUAACCUAAAUUAAUUCUGCUUUAAGUCCUCAAGGGUCAACUUCACAAAAGGUAAACUUGUUAUAUAUGUUCAUUAAAAGGUGAGCAAAAGAAAAAUAUAUGGAUGAGAAUAGCAAUUCUUUUAAAUUUCUUUUUUUGUUGUCAAUUAUUUAAUCUCUAAUAUUGUAUUUUAAUGGCUACUUAGUGCUUUCUAAAGUAUUUAUAUCCACUUCUAAAUUAGAGAUUUUAGACUUGAAGCAUAUGAAAAGCGAGCUCGAUACCAAAUAUUUAUUAUAGACUAUUGCUAGGCUUAAUCAAACCCCUCAGCCCUUAAUGUAGUUUUAGUAAAAAAAAAAAAGCAUUGUAUGUAUUAAGUAUCAAGCAGAUCCUGCCAAAAAAAACAAAGCAGAUACCCAAAUCGAUAAAAAUAUAACACAAGAUUCUUGCUGCAAGUUGCAUUUGAAAGUAAAUAUCCUAAGAAAUCGAGCACCUGGAAAGACCAUUAAAAAUGCAAAUUGCAUUUGAGCUAGUUGUCACAAAGCUGAAGGGUUCAAAGAAUAAGGUUAUUGUAUAAAGCCAGUACCUGUAUUAUAAGUUCGUAAAUGUGAUUGAUGGAACUGUAGAGUUGACAAAAACAUAACUUAAGAAGAAAUUAACUAAACGUAACCCAUGCAUUUAAGCUAAUGAUCAGGAGAGUUUCUUUUGGUUCUUGACCUUCCACUCUUUGAUAUUAACUUCAAUCUUUGCUCUCACACUUUUAUGAAACCCUGGAUAAGGUUCAUACCCAAAGGCUGAUUGAAGAAGCUCAAGCAACACGAAGUAAGGCCCCAUCAGAAGUGCUUGAGCAAAGUUGUCUGCAAGAGCUGGUCCUCUUUUU
rnacentral:lncRNA from 1 species